UAUGCAGGUAUUUCAGACAUUCUGCUGGCUCCUUACCCAUUCUUCAACAGCCAAUUUGUUCAAUUCCUUUGGGUACAUGGGUUCCAAAACUUGAGGAACCAAACAGACGGCCAUUAGCAAUGUUGGGACCGAAUGCUUCUCUUGGUGCUGCUCUGUCCUUGUUGGCUCAAGGUAAUUCACACGUCAAAAGAUUACCACAAGCUACAACUGUCCUCUUCUAUCUGUUUCUGAGUGUGCAUAUUGCUGAUUGAUCUUCUUUAACCUCUCCUAACCUUGUGCUAUAAUACCUUCCUGAUACAGCCAAUGUCAGUUCAAUACCAAUUGUAAAUGAUAACGAUUCACUGCUGGAUGUAUAUUCUCGAAGGUAACUUGUGCAUCUGUGAGUGCAUGUGCUUGCAUGUUCUGGAUCCUUGUUAUUGUUGAAUUGCAGGUUAAGCCAACUGUGACUUAAGUUUGUUGUUUCCUUGACAGUAAUAUCACUGCUCUGGCAAAAGAUAAAGCCUAUGCACAAAUUCAUCUCGAUGAAAUAAGUAUUCAUCAGGCAAUUAGUUUUGAUUACUUUAAGCUCUAUUUAUAUGCAGUUGUAUGCACAUUCUUGCAAUGGUCUGAACCAAUCCGCAGCUCUGUACAUGAAUAUCCAUUUGUGAAACAAUAAAUACAUUCAACUAAAUCAGGAGAAGAUAAAUGACUGGAAAUGAUAAAGUAAACUGCCUUUUUGAAUAAAACAUGCAUGGCAUGAACCUCCUGUAUUGAUCUGCUCUUUCAUACCCUUUUAGGCUCUGCAAUUGGGUCAGAAUGCAAAUUCUUCAAAUGCAUUCUACAAUGGACAGAGAUGUCAGAUGUGUUUGCGGACUGAUUCUACACAAAGUGAUGGAGCGUUUGGCAAAUCCCGGUACUCUUACAGCAAUAUGAUUUUUUUUUCUACGUCAACUUUUCUCCAUAAUUAGUUCUGACUUCGUGGUCUGGACUAGUAACACGUUUUCUAAUUGCUUUGUUGCGUGGUCUUUUCAGGGGUUAGGAGGCUUUGUUGCGUGGUAAAAAAACACUUUUUAAAUUAAAGUUAUAAAAUAACUAAAAAAAUUAUAUAUUAAUAUUAAAGAUUUUUAAUUUAAAUAUUAUAGAAUUAUAAACAACAAACUUAAAGCAAAUCGAUGUAAAUUGCUUAACUAAUACAACAUUCCAAGCUAUAAAUCAAGGUUAGAUUUUUAGAACUCAAAACAUUUUUUCCCUCUUUAUCUGCUCCUAACCCUACACUUUCUGUGGUGUUCAAUAAUGGAAGGAAAAACAAUAUAAUCUUGUAGUUAACGCAAUAUGUGUUUCUGAUCAAGAUAUCAUACAAGUCGCGAGUGCAGCUCUAUAGCACCCACCCAAAUUUUAAACCAGAGAAUAACUGCUUAACUAUAAAAGAAUUAACCUCCCAACUGAUGACUGGUAUAGAGCCAAACGAUCUAUUCCAUCUUUAGUCUUGAGCAAAUUUUGGCAAACCCCCAUGUCAUCUUGAUCAUAAUCUGCCAUAGCUAUAGCAUACAGAAUAAUCCUGCAGACAAGCAGAGAUAACCAAAAUCCAGUAAACUUUAGACCAAACAGGGAAACAAAACGUAACAAAUAUACUCUUGCUAACUGAUAGAGAAAGGCAACAGCAGUCUGUACGAUCUAAUCUUUGGAGGCAACCGCAUUUUUUACAAGUACUCAACAAAUGGCCUCUCCAAAUCCUCAUCUGGAAUCUUUGUCUUACCUUCCUCUUCAUCAUUCCCAUUCCCAAUCCCAUCAUUACCAGAAGAACCCGCCGCCACUGUGGCAUCCAAGUGCCCUUGCACCAGCUUGAAAAACCUCAUCAACUGAUUCUUUUCCAUCAGAGUCAAACUCUUAUCCUUAAAUAUGGCAGCUCUGGAAUCUGGCACAUUCCAUAACUUUCCAUUCCCAUCACCAACAAAACUGGCAUCAAUACUCUUGAACUCCACAUAAUUACUUGCUCCAGAUUUUAACAUAAGAUCAAUUGACUUGUCGGCGCAAAAUAACACCCUUAGUCCGCACAAGUCCAAAUUGAACUUCCGUAAGUUUUCUUCCAUUAGUUUAGGAUAAAGACAGGAAAUCUCAACAUCUGAAUAUACCGGCUGAGUGCUGAGAUUUACAAUGGAGUAAUCAGGGAUGUCAGUUGUGGUUGAGGUGGAAGAUGGUGGUGAGGAAGCUGUAGAAUUGGAAAUAAGGAAAGAUGUGAGAUCCGGGACCGAGAGAGAGGAGUAAUGGGACCCAUAGAUUGGGUUGGUGUCAAGGUGAAGGACAGUUUUUCCAGAAGCAGAAGCUGCAGCAGCAACAAUGCAUUCUGCUAAACCAGUGCCUGCAGCAAUCAGGUCGAUGGUAGUUGGUUCAAUUUGCGGGUAUGGUGGGGGCUCACUCGUGGUAGCACUGGAGAGGAACAGUAGAUUUACUGCUGAGAGUGAGCAAGUGAGGAGCUAAGAAUCACCUGGCACAAGAACCAAGAGAAAAAAAUUGUGUUAUCAAGUAUGAUCAACAAGUGAAGUUUUUGCACUUUCUUUUAAUAUUUGAACACCAGCAAGGUACUUGCUAAAUGGGGCAGGCAGGCUGGCUUGGCUUACGUUCAACAAUGUCUAGCUUUUACUUUUUUUUUAAAUUUAAUUUAUUAAUUGAUGUUUUUUUCUACAUGUAUUUUUUUAAAAAUAUUUUUUUAUUUAUAUUUAAAUUAAUAUCUCUUCUCUUUUUUAUUUUGUUUAUAUAAAAUCUUUCAAGUGACUAUUAUUUUUUAGUUAUUUUACAUGUAUUUUAUUUUAAAAAAAAUUAUUCUAAUUCAUGUGUAUUUAUAUAUAUAUAUAUAUAAAAUAUUCAUAAUUUUUUUUUAUAGUGCGAGUCAAAUAGGGAUCACAUGCUCUACUUUAGAGACUUUUGCUGCACCUUUUUGGUCUUGUAGCUCUAAGGUUAAUCCCUUUGUCUAUGGAAAUUUCAUUUUUAAGUCAAUUUUUUUAAAAAAUAAAUACUGUACUUUAGAAUUAAUGGUUGAUUGUAGCCCGUCAUUUCAUUUGCCCUGUUAGCUUUGUGCUUUCUUCUACUGCCCUCAAUUUUAUCGGCAAACAACUCCUUUUGUAGUGCGCCGCCGCCUCUUCUUUACUGCCCUAAAACAGAGAGAGCGAGACGCAGAGACAGAGAAGACAAAGAAAGGUAACCGAUAACCGAGAGAGAAGGCAAGAAAGAGAUGGAGAUAGGAAAAGACAGUAUGGUAAGAAUUAUAUUUUUAGUAUUUGUGAUAAUUUUUCAGUAUCAAGUUUGAGUUUUAUUGACUAAUCUGUGUGGAUUUGUUUUUAUAAAGCUUUAUUACAGGAUGUUAAGAUUUGGGUGAAUAUAUAUGCAUUGAUUUUGAUUUACAGUUCUUGAGAAAUUAACCGAUAGCUUUUGAUUUCAGUAUCAAGUGAGAUUUAUACUUAUUCCUUUUCAGGUGAUGCCUCAUUCAGAAACCUCUUAUUCACACUUUUUUUCCUUGCUGGGGCCAUGGAGGACCUAUCUAUCUGAAACAAUCAAUGAACAAAUUAGCAACACCAAUUUGCUUAAAGCUUUAACAUGGACAUCAAUAACCAUCAAAAUUCACAAAAUACAUUACAUUAAUAAUAAAAAUAUAAAACUCUUGGCAAAGCAAGACGAUCUUCCACCCCAGAAUUUGAAAUAUAAUACAGUCCAAAUAUUAAACUUUUUUCCUUCUUUUGUUUUUUUUUGGUUUUUCGGAUACUUAGACUCGAGUUAAGAGCAUACUAAGCUGCACUAAUUGUGGAGAAUAUUUUCCCACUCGGAUUAUAUUUGAAACCUCAGUCAAAACCCACCACAAGAAUUCAACUUUUACAACAUAUCAAAAUCACAUCAUUUUCAAAUUCACAGAUCCGAGACUGUACACUUACAGAUUCAGAGUAAUUGAUAUCUGGGUAUAAAUCAUACAGUGAAGCAAAGGGCUGUGAAGGGAGAAAAAUGCAAGCUUUAAGUUUAUGUGUUAUAGAGAAGGGUUUUUUAGAGAGAGAAAUAAAAGAGAGUUUUCGAAGUUGCGGGAAAGAGAGGCUCUUUUAGAGAGAGAAAGAGAGAUGUUGCCGCGAAACUUGAAUAUAAAGGUGGGCUGGCCAAUCAGAUUUUUUUAUGUAUAUAUUUUUUUGUUUUUCUUGUUUUAUACAGUGUUUUUUUGUUGUUAAUCACCGUACACGUUGGUGAGUGGGGUAUUGUAUGGUAUGAUCUUGUGGUCAUUGGUUGGGGUUUGAAGGGAUAAUUAUAGCAGAUUCAAUUUGAAAUUUUUUGUUGUUUGCUUUGGGAAUGGCCCUUGAAUUUAUGGGUAUUUGUAUUUGGUUACCAUAAAGUUUUAGAAAAACGGGCCUCGAAGUUUUCUAUUGAGAGAUGGUCCCUCAUUUGAAUCUUCUGCACAAAGUUUUUAAACCGCACAAUCCAUGACACAACCUAAGGCUCGCAUUAUGGGUAAGAUAAAUUUAUAUAUGUGAAUUUAAAAUUGUGUUAGUUUAAUAUUUUUUUAAAAAAAUUAAAAUAAUAUCAUUUUAAAAAAAUAAAGUUAUAUUGAGUUCUGACAAGAUUGUAAGUGGGCUCACUCGAUCCAUCAAGUUUUAAUUGAGUUAACUUUCAUAUGGUUUAAUGUAAAACUCGACCAAGACCAAGUUUUUUUAUUGAGCUUGUGUAUGAAUUUAUUAAAAUUAGUUUUGCCUAAAGCUUAGGUUAUAUGUUUAGUGGGUUAAAUCAAGUCAAUCUAAAAUGAUGUCAUUUUAAGAUAAAAAAAAAAACAAAAUGAGUUUCUUUUGAAAAAAAAUCAAUUUUAAUCAGGUUAUAAAUAGACGCAGCCAAAUCAAUCAAGUUUUAAUCGAAUUAACUUUUAUAUUAAUUUUAAACUCGUUCUUAAUUAGGUCUCGAAUCAAUAAUUUAUCAAGAUGAUUUAUUAAAUCAUAAGAGAUUGAAUAACAUUGGUUAUUAAUAUAUGUCUGGUAUUGUGGUGUAUGAUAUUUUUAAAAAGUGUUUUUUAAUUAAAAAUAUAUUAAAAUGAUAUUUUUUUAAAAAAAUAUUUUUGAUAUUAAAAACAAUUUUAAAAACAGGAACAAACAAAAUGCCAAAUACAAACUUAGUAUUGAAAUAACAAACUCCUCCAUAAAUUUAUUUUCCUUCGACAUUUAUUCUCGUAAAAGAAAAGAAAGGACACCAAUAGCACCAAGCUCCAACUCUUCGCUCCUUGCCAUCCCCAGCAUUUUCAGCCCUGCCUUGCCUUGUUACACACCACCCUCAUUAUCAAUGUCAAUAGGAACCUAUUUUCAGGAAAAAUAAAUAAUAAUUAUAAGCUAAUUCAUUUUUCUUUUUUUCCCAUAACAAUGAUAAAUAUUAUUAAAUUCAUCAAUAAAAAAAACUACUGAUUUGUUACCUUUUCAAUCAGUAAAGCUAAGAUCCCAUUUGGACCAAGAUCAGCAUGGUAAAGUGACCAACAAGCAAUUUUGUCACCAACUUUGAAGUCACUCUUCACAAGAACUUCAGCCCAAGCAAUCUUUUCCAAUCUGAAAUUCUUGACUGCCCUAUCAUAGUAAAUUGCCACCCAAAUCUUAUUCCUUGGUGGUGUGUAGAUCUCAAUUUCUAGUCCUUUGAUCCCAAUUUCAUCGAGCAUGGGUUUUGGUAGAGUUGUUAAGAAGCUUUUUGAAUCUCCGACAAGAACUAAACCUAGCAUGUCAUCUUGAGUCAUGGUUCUUGUGAAUAAAUGUUCUAGCUCCCCACCAAUUGGAUAGUGUUGAAUCUGGUUAGGUUGAGGAGUAGCCAUGUUCUUGAAUUAGGUUUUUUUUUUUUUUUUUUUGGUAUGUUGCCCUCUUGAAAACCACCUUGAUGAUUUGAAACUAAAUACAAGCAAAUGAAUGUUAAAAUAGUUAUGUUCGUGUCAAAUUGCUAGCAGAAUGCAUGACUAACACAUAAAUUGUGAAGGCAUGCUUUAAAGGAGGGUGCUUGCCUGGUGGUUAAUCACUGUACACGUGUUAAGUGGAGUUCGUGUAUGGGAUGAUCUGUGGAUGUUUCUGGUACGAGUGAAUUAUACCAGAUUUAAUUUGAAAUUUCGCUACACAAUGAUCCCUGGAUUUAUAUGUAUUGCAUUUAUCUCCCUAGAGUUUUGAUAAUUAACGACUUUUACACUUUGUUUGGACUUAGGCGUUACUGUAAACUAAGGACGUGGCAAAAUAAUCACCCUACGAUUGGUAUUAAAAUACGAUCACCACAUUAUAUAUUUUCUCAUGUUAUUUUUUUUAUGGGCAAUUAACGUUAUCUACAAUGAUAUUAAAUUAGGUAUAUAAUCUCAUUAUUAAGAAAAGUAUGCGUAUAAUCCAAUCAAAAGAGUUAUAAAUAUAUAAUCUUAUUAUUAUUAUUAUUAUUUUCUCGUGAUUUCUUGGAUAUCACUUGUAAUAUUUUAGUUGUUUUAUUUUCUUCUUCACUCUUUGAUUUUAGAAGUUAGCUUUUUUUUCUAUUGCCACUUUUAUUUGUAAGAGGAUUGAUUGAUGGUAUAAAUGCCACAUUAAUUUUGAAAAUUAAUAAAAAUUAAUGGCUUGGCAUUGUCAACUGAGUUUGUCAAAGACAUGUAUGCUUGUAUUACAAAAUACUAAAACCAAAACUUUUAAUUAUAAUGGUUAGAUUUAGGGUGUGUUUGUUUUUGCAGUCAAACCCGUUUUUCAAAGUGUUUUCACUUAAAAAUCAUCAAACUAAUGAUUUUUAAGUGUUUUUUUGAUAGUUUUGAUAUGUAAAAAAAAUAAAACAACAUCAUUUUAAUGUUUUUUCGAUUGAAAAACAGUUUUACAAAAAUACUUUGCACGUAUUACCAAAUAUACACUUAGGCCAUGGUUUUCUACUAAAAUAGUUUUAUUUUGCAAAGUGAUUUCCAUGCAAAGUGAAUUGCAUAAAAGUGAGUUAUUUUUUUUUUAUGUUUGGUAAUGUAGUGAAAAAUAAGUUAAAAAACACUUCUAGUGCUUGGUUAUGUCAUAAAAAAUAAGUUAAAAAUAACUUAUUAAUGUUUAAUUUAAUUUUAUUAAAAGAAUAUAAACCAAAUCCGACAAAUAAAAAAGUUAAAGGAUAAUGAAAUUAAAAAAUAUAUAAUUUCAUAAACUAUUUCAAAUAAAAAAAUAGCAAUCAAAAGAAUGGAGACCAAAUCUGAAAGAUAAAAACAUUGAAAGAGGAUAAAAUUAAAAAAAUAUAUAAAUUUCAUAAAUUAUUUCAAAUAAAAUAAAUAGCAAUCAAAAGAAUGAUGAUAAAAUUUAAUAGAUAAAAAAAUUUCAAUAAAAAAAAGAUAAGAGAAAAACAAAUAACAAUCACAAGUACGAGAAUCAAAAUUAAUAUAAAAAUUAAAUUGAAUCAAAUUCCGAGGGAUAAAAUUAACAAAAAAUAAUAAAAAAGAAUUAAAAAAAACAUAUAACAAUCAAAAGAUUGAGAACUAAAUUUAACAUAAUCAACAAAUAACAAUAUAUUUUUUAGUUUUUCAUGACUUCUAGAAAAAUAUUUUUUAUCCAAAAUAAAAAGAAAAUACUUUUUUAAAAUCCAAGUUAAAUUUGUCUUUGAUUAAAAAAUAUUUUUUUUAAUUAAUUUUUUUAAUACCAAAUAAUCAAAAAAAAAUUUAAAAAACAUUUUUCAAAAAACUAUAAAACACAAGGACUUAUCUGAAAGUCUAACUCUUAAAAAAAGUUUAAAUUGCUAAGUUGUAUUUGAAUCCUAAAUUUUUGAAUCGACCCGCCAUGCCGCGCUAAGUUUAACAACUACGUUCUUAACAUAUCAAUGGUUUCAACUUAGCCGACAUGUCAUUUAAAGAUUUAAGAUUUAGUACUUGCGAGGCUAUAUAUAGCCUAUUAACUAAUCUUUCUUCAGCAAUGAUGCCCGAAUUGAUUCUCACGUGGAUGUGUUUGUUGUUAUGUUUUAAAAAUAUUUUCAAAAAAUUUAAAUUGUUUUUUAGAAUUAAUAUUUUUUUAGUGUUUUCGUAUCAUUUUAAUAUACUGAUGUCAAAAAUAAUUUUUUUUUAAAAAUAUUAUUUUGAUACAUUUCUGAGUUAAAAACAACUAUAACCACAGUUUCAAACAUGCUAAAAAAAACCUUCGAAGAUAGUAACCUACAAAUUUAUUGUCAACUAUUCGAACUCCUCUUUUAACAUUUUAUUGAAUCAAGUUUUUUGUGAAUAAAUGUUCUAGUUUCCCACCAGUUGGAAGUGGUUGUACUUCCAUGUUCUUGAUUUUGAUUUGUUUCUAUUUCAAAAUCAUUAAACAUAAUAAUAAUAAAAAAAUUUCAACCAAUAGUUUUUUUCUCUCUUUUUUUACUCCCUGGAUCUGUUGUCAAGGUACAGGGGCUUCUUUGAAGUGGAAUAACCCGACCACAAAAAUGCAGUGAUACAAAAUGCAUAUGCUCUACCCAGUAUGGUAGAAAAUGCCUAAGUAUUAAAAUUAAAAUUUUAUAAUUAUGUUAAUAUUUAAAAGUGCAAUAACUUCUGUUUUUAGAUGCAUUUCACUUGAAAAUACAUAAAAUUGAUGUUUUUUAUAAUGUUUUUUUAAUAGUUUUGAUGUGCUGAUAUUAAAUAUAAAAAAAUAUAAAAAAAUUUUUUAUAAAAAAUAUCGUGCAUCGCAUUAUAAAACACGUACUAAUAUCAGCUGAUAUUCUAAAAUUCAAGAUAAUCUUGUAUUGUUCGGUGAAUCUAAGUCAUAAAAAUAAUUGAUCAUAAUUUAUAAUUUAUGGGUGAUUUUUUUGAUUAUUUGAUAUUUUUGAUUCUAUUUAAAAAAAAUACCUAUAAUUAUUAUCUUGUAAAAAUUUCAAGAAAAAAGAAAAAAGUAAGACAAAAUCUGUCAUGGAACCCACAUAAAAUAGCAUUUACUCCGAUAAUCCAAAGCCCUUAAAAAUCAAGAGCCCACGAUCAACUUGAAUGGGUACACUUAUCUCGCUUAGACGACCCCGAUUUUUCUUUAGUUUUAAAUAAUCUUUUCAAUUGUAUCUUGCAUUUUUAUAAGCAAGCCCUACUUCUCAUAAUUUUUAGACCCGGCCCGAUCCAAGAUCUGGAUUUCGAGUUUUGACCGGGUCACCGGAUCAAUUCUUUUUUUAAAGAAAAAAUCAAAACAACGUCAUUUUAGUAAAAAAAAAAAAAAUCAACGGGUUGCAACCUGGUUUUUGACCGAGUCUUGCCGGGUCAACCGGGUUUUUUCUUUCCCUGUUUUUUCUUCAACCCAGCCCGAUUCUAGCCCCGGGUCGACCCACCGCACCGGACCGGGUUUUAAAACUAGGCUACUUCUUGAAUUUUUAAAAAUGUUGUUAUGCAAAUUAAAUAUGAUUUUAGAAUUGAUUUUUUACUUCAAAUCAUAAUUGUUUUUCAUAAGCAAUAAACUGCAUUACAACGUAGAAAUAAUUAAAAUUUAUCUUGAAUCAAGAGAAAGUGUGCAUAACCAGGAUAUCAUACAGUAAUAAUUUCAUGUACAUGCUAUAAAUCUUACUUCAGAUCACAUUUUAUCAUUCAUAUUGAUGUUUAUAAAUUAGAAAUUACAAUCAAGCCCUUGGAGUCAUGGUUAAAAAAUUUGAAUGAUAAGGAUAAUGUUAUACUUUUACUGUUCUAUCAAAUAUGAAAAUACAAAAACCCCUUUAUACAUGUAAUAAUCCAAUUUUGGAUUCUCCAAAUUUUCUUUAAAUGUUAUUUUAUUUUUAUUAUUAUUCAUAAAAAAUCCAAAAAAAAAGAAAAAAAAGUUAAAAUUCAAAAAUAUAUUUUUCUCGGGUCAACUAUCAUCUUCCAUAAAAAACAAGCCCAUCGGAUCAAUACGAGUUAAACCAUGUCGACCGAAAUAAAAAUUGAGUUUCAGGCCGUUUUGGGUCAAACCCGUCAUUUCGGUCAAAACUGAGUCCAUCGGGUCAAUACGAGGCAAACCAUGUCGACCGGGGUAAAAAUUGAGUUUUAGGCCUUUUCGGGUCAAAACUGUCAUUUUUUGGUCAAAACCGAGUCUACCAAGUUUAUACGGGUCAAACCUUGUUGACCAUGAUAAAAAUUGAGUUUUAGGCUAUUUUGGAUCAAAACUGUUAUUUUCUAUCAAAACCCGGUUCACCGGGUUGAUAGUGGUCGAAUUUGUUUUUAAUGGUUUUUGAAAUUGACCUGUUUGUUUCUGCGUUUCAAAAGCACUUUUGAAAAAAUUUGAAUUUUUUUUAUUUUUUUAUUAACUUCAAAUUAAUAUAUUUUUAGUGUUUUCAAAUCAUUUUGAAGUGCUUAUGUUAAAAAUAAUUUUUAAAAAAUAAAAAAAAAUCAUUGACAUGUAUUUUAGCACAAAAAAUUAUUUUAUUUUUCGGUAAUCAAAGUUAAUUUUUAGCGGUUGAACGGGCAUUUUUUAAUACUGAUCGGCGUUUUAGUUUUACCCACAUAUAUAUUUAUUAUUAUACAAAUCAAUAAUGCAGAAAUAUUUACUGUAGUAGUUGGUGCAGUUGAGGCAUGUGAAAUUUUUUCUUCGGACAAAGCCGUGUCUCCUGGUUAUAAAUGCCCUGUUCCCCUAGGCCCUAGUCAUUGGCUAUAAAAGCCAGUAAAAGAGAACAGAAAGGAAGAAGUGAAUCCUAACGCUGAUACUAUUAAUGUUUUUUUAGUUUUUCUUCACGCGAGUAAAGUAUUGAUUUUUUUUAAAAACAAUUUAAAAAAUACUAAAAAAUAUCCUAACCAUUAGAUUAAAUAGUAUUUAGUUCUGGAUCAAUAAUUAGAUCUGAUCAAACAGGGCAAAGUACACUAGAUUAAAACCCAAAUCCAUCUCAGCCCUUUAAACGGUCUGUCCUUUGAUCCUGUCUUGCCACGUCACCUGGUGUACCAAGCCCCAGGUGCAUCCUAUCACACUGAAGCAAAGCAAAGAUCUGACAAUCGGGGCCGUCUAUUAAUUUUUUUAACCGGGUCGCCUGAGUUAAUUUUUUUAUUAAAUCAAAACGAUGUUAUUUUAGUAAAAAAAAAAUCAACAGGUUGCAACUGGAUUUUUGACCAGGUCUUGUCAGGUCAACUGGGUCGCCGGGUCACACCAUGUUUUUUCUUUUCCUGUUUUUUCUUUAACCCGGUCCGGUUCCAGCCCCGGGUCGGUCGGGUCCUGGGUCGACCUGCCGGCCCGGACCGGGUUUUAAAACUAUGCUACUUCUUGAAUUUUUAAAAAUGUUGUUAUGCAAAUUAAAUAUGAUUUUAGAAUUGAUUUUUUACUUCAAAUCAUAUUUUUUUUUUCGUAAGCAAUAAAUUGCAUUACAACGUAAAAAAAAUUAAAAUUUAUCUUGAAUCAAGAGAAAGUGUGCAUAAUUAACCAGGAUAUCAUAUAGUAAUAAUUUCAUGUACAUGCUAUAAAUCUUACUUCAAAUCGCAUUUUAUCAUUCAUAUGGAUGUUUAUAAAUUAGAAAUCAAAUUAAUACACUUCUUUAUAGUAUAAAUUAGAAAUCAAAUUAAUACACUUCUUUAUAGUUAUAGAAUUCUUAAGAACUCUAGAGUUAACCUAACUUACGAAAUAUUGACUAGCAAUAAGAUCAAACUUAACUCUGCACCCAUUCCCAAAAGACGUUUCUUUGACAUAAUUUAUUACAUAGCUAAGAUAUAUCAAGCAUUCCAAUAUUUACUCCCAUAAAUAAUAUCAAAUCUCAAAUAUAUCAUGAUGUACACUAUUAUUUUGUCUUUUUUUAAAAGUUAAUUAUUGAGAAAAUUAUGUUAUUAAACUUUAUAAAGUUUGUGGAUCUAUUCAUAAGUUUGACUAGUUGAUCUAGUUUGUGGGUUUGACAAGUUUAACUCUUUUUUUUCAUCCUUAGAUAUUAGAUUAAUUGAGAAUUCAGUUUUAUAAUUGGUCUCGUUUUACCUUUUCAUUAUGAGAUUAUCACGGUCUAAAAAAAUCUCGGUACUGGGUUGAUAUUUAAUUUCGCAAUUGUCUAUUUUUGUUACCAUAUAGUUAAAUAAAAAAAUAGUUUCGAAAAAAAACAAAUUAUAAUCCUAAUGGAGCCCAUAACCCGGUUCAUAGUGCUAGCUCGGGUUACCCGAUUCACAUAUUUGACAAGUUUGCCCAAUAAUAGAACAUGUUUUUUUUUGUUUGGUCUUUUAAUUGUUUUUUUUUCUCGAUUUUAUCCUUCAAUAUUGAGUUGAUUGAGAAAUAGACUGCAUGGUUGAUUUUUGUUUUGCUUUAUAUAGGGAUAAUUGUCUCAAAUAAAUGUCUAUUUUUUGGUUGGUGUUCAAUUUUAUAAGCAUUUAUUUUUAUCAUAUAAUUAAAUAAAAAUAUUUUACAAAAAAGUUAUUAAACCCAAUAGAGUUCAUGACUAGGGUCGCGGGGAGACCGAGGUAGAUUUAAUUUGUCAUUGUCUCAAUAUUUUUUUUUAAAUCUGUCAUCUUGAAGUUUUUUUAAAAGUUACAUAAUAUUUUUACCGAUUAUCAAUGUUGCAUUUGGACUCAUGAAAUUGAUCGAUUUAAGUCGAGUUAGCUCCCACGUGAUUUAAUUAGAAACUCGAGUUAGACAAAGAACUGAGUCAGGAGGUUUGAAAAUUAAUAUUAUAAAAAAAUCUUGAUACUUUUAAUAUUUUUUAUAUUUUAAAAAAUUUAACCCGGCCCAUGGUGGAGCUCGAACCAAUAAACUAGUGUAAACUAAAAGGAAGAAAAGAAAAUCACAUGAAUCAUGCAUAUAAUAUUUAAGAACAAUCACAUUAUUCUUGCUGAAUUAGUCACAAAUUUUGUAGCAAUUACGUACACAUCAAAUAUAAUUGCACUUGAUCACUUCAUGCCAUAUAUUUUAGUAUCUAGAGUCAUGCUGAUAAGGUUUAUUGCCCAAAUUUAAGUUCAUUGGGGAUAUCAAUCACAAUUAAGUAGCCUUUCUUCGUUGAAACUUCGAAUAUACUACGUACCUAACAUAAAUCUGCCUAACUCCCUGCUAAUCAUGAGCCAAUUAUCAGUAAUUAAAUCCAUCUAGGCCUAGAACUUUAAAAACCAUUUGAUCAAUCAUCAAAGAAUAUAUAAACGAUUGUAGUCAUGUCAAAAGGGAUUCUUCCUCGAAUAAGCACAAUGUUAUAUAGUUAUAAAUGAGAUUAUUGCUGACAGCAAGAUUGCAUUAUCUAUGUAUAUUAAUUUAAUUAAAGAAAAGAUCAUGUCCCCAUAAAAAAAAAAGGAAAUUAAAAAGCAGGUUAUAAAGACAAAAAAAUGAAAAUAAAAAUAAAAUCAGUUCUGCCUUGCAUAGAUUAAUUAAUGGUAUGUUGGGCCAAACCAUGCUGAACUACUAUACACGCAUCACUUAAAAAAAAAGGAAACCGAAAUGAAUCAAACGAAUCAAGAAGGCGGCGGAGCGAUAGACGCGUGCAAAGCAUGCGUUAAAAUCUUUUUUGUUUUUUCCCUUAUUUGUAUAAAAUCAAAAAGGCCCUUAAGACUAAACAAUAAUAAUAUACAAAACCACGAUGAAUUUACAAUCAAGCCCUUGGAGUCAUGGUUAAAAAAUUUGAAUGAUAAGGAUAAUGUGAUACUUUUACUGUUCUAUCAAAUAUGAAAAUACAAAAACACCUUUAUACUUGUAAUAACCCAAUUUUGGAUUCUUCAAAUUUUCUUUAAAUGUUUUAUUUUUAUUUUUAUUAUUAUUCAUAAAAAAUGCAAAAAGAAAGGGAAAAAAAAGCUUAAAAUUCAAAAAUAUAUUUUCUCGGGUCAACCGCCAUUUUCCAUGAAAAACAAGCCCAUCGGAUCAAUACGAGUCAAACCAUGUCGACCGGGAUAAAAAUUGAGUUUCAGGCCGUUUCGGGUUAAACAUGUCAUUUGUGGUCAAAACCGAGUCCAUCGGAUCAAUACGGGUCAAACCAUGUCGACCAAGAUAAAAAUAGAGUUUCAGGUCUUUUCGGGUCAAAACCGUCAUUUUGUGUCAAAACCAAGUCCACCUGGUUUAUGUGGGUCAAACCAUGUUGACCGAGAUAAAAAUUGAGUUUUAAGCUAUUUUGGGUCAAAAUUGUUAUUUUUGAUUAAAACCUGUUUUACGAGGUUGAUACUGGUUAAAAAAGUUUUAAGUGAAGGUAACCUUUUUCUUGAAAGGAUGUUUUAAGGGUGAUGUCUACCUUCCCUUAAUCAUACCUAACCCAGUAGCUGAAUCUUUGGGACCAGUAUCUAAUUUGUGAUUUCUAAUUUCCUUAAAUUACAAGAUAACGACUCCAAUUAAAUCUUAAUUUUCCCCUAUUAAUCUUUUUGUUAAAUAAAAAAAGUGGAGCAAUCGUGCAAUCCUCAAAAGAAGUUUAUAUGAUAACCCCGUGCAAUCCUCAAAAGAAGUUUAGUUUUUUUUUUAUUGUGCAUUAAAAAACAUAACCCCAUGCAAUCCUCAAAAGAAGUUUAUAUCAUCCUGAAAAGACCAACCUAACACCCCUAUGCCAAGUUAAAAGAUCAAAUAACUAAUGAAUAAUAUAGUAAUUAUAUUAUUGUAAUGACUAGUAAAUUGUGUAUAGAGACACAAUCGCUACGGGAAAUAGUUUUUGUAGAUAAUUUUUAUGAAGGUAUUUUUAUUCUUAUUGAUUACAUCAUUUGUUGUCUUGGUACAGUUCUACUUGAGGAUUUGGUCAAGUUUUUUGAAUCCAUUUGGAUUAUUUCAUUCCCACCAGAGGGCUUGUCUUAAUUUAUAAUGCAUCUGUAUGGGGAUUCGGAGGUCAUCGCGAAUCACCCAAAUAUUUACGCGUUCCUUGUCGUGGUUUCGUAGAAGGAAAGUGAAAAUCUACGGAAGAAUCUGUAGAAAUGACUUAUACUUGUGAAAUACUGAAACCAUAAACUCUUUUUGCUUACUUCUUGCAAGGGGGGAAAUAAAAAAGAGACGAAGCUUAUCAUUUCAGAUUUCAUCAUGCAAAGAAUACCCGAAACAUUAAUUGGGAUUUUUUUUUUAAUUUUAUAAUCAUCGUUUGAUUUAUUGAAAAGUAGUUAUUAAUUAGCCAUUUAAUUAAUGACUAAACAACAGAAAAUAAGAGUUAAUACGGAAGGAGCAAUAUAAAGAAAAACGAAAUACAAAAAUCUCUAUUUCCUUAAUUACCUAAAUUAAUUUUGGGAUUUAACUAGACAAAGGAAUCAAUUUACCUCCCUGCAAAGCAUGCACUAAACAGUCAUGCACUACACCAUUAAACAGUUUUACUUAGUCCGUCGGUCACAGGAAUGAAAUCCGUCGGUGAAAUAAUUACAGACGGCCUCACCGACGGAACACGUCCGUCGGUAUAACAGUCGUCGGUAAAAUCCAUUUCCGUCGCUAAUUCUAUCGCAAAUAAAAAAAAAACACACACCGACGGUCUUACAGACGGAUACACGCGCGCAAAAAAAAAAAGUUUCCCGCGGGAACAUUACCGACGGAAUAAAUCCGUCUGCAAUUUCAACGGUAAUCACCGACGGACUUACCGACGUAUAAUCCGUCGGUAAUUAUGGCAUGGCUGGUAAUUGUUUGGCAACUCUCUGUGGAAUACCGACGGAUACUAUCCGUCGGUAAAUCCGUCGGUGAUUAAUACCGACGGAUAUAUAUCCGUCGGUAAUUAUGGCAUGGCUGAUAAUUGUUUGGCAACUCUCUGUGGAAUACCGACGGACAUUAUCCGUCGGUAGGUAUGUAAAAUAUAUAUAAAAAAUAAUUUUGUUUAUAGUAAAAAACCUUAAUAAACAAAUAACAAUGGAUUAAACAUUAAAAAUAUAAAAGUAAUGUUAAAUAAUAUUCAUUACAAAUUUAAUGUGUUUUUUUAAAAAAUUAAACUAGAAUAGCGGCGGAGCUGGAGGAGGAGGAGGAGGAGGAGGAGGAGGCUGGUUGUUCCCGGGACUAUACGGCCAAAAAGAAGCAGCACAAGUAUCGUCACCUAUCUUUGAUCUCAUCUCCAUGACUAUUUGACGGAGCUCAUCAUAAUUCGUCGAGAGUUGUUGAUAUUGUUGUUUCAACGCAAUGAACUCCUCAGACUGGGUGUUCGAUACUGAUGGAGAGCUUCCAACAGUUGAGACACUACGAGCCGAACACAAGUUUUCAGCCGUAGUGUUGGAGAGCCCGUAGACCCGAUUUUUAUCGGUUCCACCAGACGAUCCCGCCUCCAUCCACAAAUCUGGAUCGAAAUCUGGAUGGGUCGACGGAAUGUCCCCAUAUCUCUCCCUCAACCGGCUAUUAUAGGUCUCCUGAAAAUUCUGUCGGUAAAAAAAUCAUUAAAUGCAAUUCAAGAUGCAAUUCAAGAAAAUAAUAACUUACAAAAUAAAAUGAAUGAACGAACAUACCACAAAGUGCUGAGCACGGUUGUCCACGAACUGCUGCACCCCCUUUUGGCGGUCUUGACUCCGCACAUGCGUCUCUACAAACAGCUCCAUUGGACUCGGUUCACGUCCAAGAGAUGCAGCCUGUAAGGAAAAAAUAGGUUGAAAGUUAAAUAUAUUAUAAGAAACGACAAAUUAUUUAACGAUAUAUUUCAUUGAAAUUAAUCUUACCAUCCGCUUUGCAUGUGCGCUGAAUGAGACUGAUCCGCCAGUGUGCGUGGUCACCGAACCAUGAAUUUGCCGGUUCCGGUUGUCGGCGCCGGACUGUGAGCGCCGUGAGAACCGCUCUGAGGUCACGUGCUCAAUAUAUGCCGUCCAUAUUUCCCCCGAGAUGAAUGGCGGUUUGAAUUCCUACCAAACCGCCACCUCAUUCCAUCCUUCAAGACCGUUAUCCCUCGCUUGUCUUUUUGAUUUUUUUUGGGUGUCAUACCAAAAAUCACGCAACCUACUUCCAUAGUAACAAAUUAGAAUUUAAAACAUAAAAUUAUAAAACAAAAAUAAAUAUUAUUUUCGAUGUUACCUAGUUGCCGCGUGAUUCUCCCAUACCCUCCUCACAACAUUGUUGUCCGCCCUAUCCCACUCAAAUUUGUUCUGUGUAUAUAAAUAAUUCAUAUAAAAUAAGAAUAGUACAAGAUAUAAAAUUAUAAAAAUCAUUUAUUAAAAAUAAGCUGGAAAUUAAAAAUUUACACCGACCUGAAAUCGCCUAAACCAUGCAUCGAUAUUAGGUUUCCACUCAGGAUGUCUGGAAACCUGGCUCCAUUGAAACAAUGGAAUCUUCAUCGACGAUUUAAACGCCAAUGUUAUAGUCCUUGCAGCCUCAAUGUUUGUGAACCUGAAAUUAAAUAAAAGUAGUAAUAUUAAUUAGUUGUUCAUAAAUUAUGUUAUAAGUAUAUAAAAAAAAACACUAAAACCUAAACAAACUUACAUUGAGAGGUCAUCCUUCCAUUGUGCCUGGUACUUACGGGUGAAUUGACCCCGCUGUGAAGGCACACCGCUUCUGCGCUGUGAAACCGCGCUAGAAUUAGAGGCAGCAUCACAAGUUGGCGUAGAUUCCUCGCCGUGAUCAGCACCUAAGGAUACGUCCUCCUCGUUGCUAGAAGAACUAGCUGCAACCGUCUGGUGACGACGUAUUGUAGAUUUCAUUCUACGCAUCUACACAAAUUUAUACGAAUAAUUACAUAAUUAACUUCGAUUAUUUUAAAAAAAAUUCGAUAGAGUCUCCCCUAUACUGAGGGGUCACAAGUUAUCGACAAAAUCAUAUUACACUUCCAAUUUUAUUUCACAUCCCGAUCCAAUCAUCCUGGAUCUCAACCCAACUCAUCAUCAUCAACACAACAUUUUAUUCAAUAACAUCAUAUAAUGAUAUUCAAGUAAAAGAAUCAAUUUCAACUAUGAACAUUCAUUGUUAAAUUGGUACUUAGAGUUACAAACAUUAGAUUAAAGUCAUACAUUCAAAUUUACGGAUUAAUAUUACAUUUCAAGUUUGAGGAGACAAGACUCUUAAUUUAUAAAUAAUUACAUGGUCAAAAACAAAAGAUAACUAAAUCAAUAUCAUUCCUAACACGAUCGACCCUAAUGGACCUCAAAAUAAAAAUUAACGUGUACACAUAAAUAUAAAAAUGUAAUAACAAGCAAUAACAAUGACAUGGAAACAAUAAUAUCCUAAAUUAAGAUAAACUAAUUAAAAGUAAUUCUAUAUAUAUAAAUUAACAUUUUUAACAUAAAUUCAACAAUAACAUUUAUAGCAAUACAAACAAUAAUAUCCUAAAUUAAGAUAAACUAAUUAAAAGUAAUUAUAUAUAUAUAAAUUAACAUUUUUAACAUACAUUCAACAAUAACAAUUAUAGCAAUACAAACAAUAAUAUCCUAAAUUAAGAUAAACUAAUUAAAAGUAAUUAUAUAUAUAUAAAUUAACAUUUUUAACAUAAAUUCAACAAUAACAAUUAUAGCAAUACAAACAAUAAUAUCCUAAAUUAAGAUAAACUAAUUAAAAGUAAAUCUAUAUAUAUAAAUUAACAUUUUUAACAUAAAUUCAACAAUAACAAUUAUAGCAAUGCAAACAAUAAUAUCAUAAAAUUAAUAAAUAAAAUUAAAAAACUAAAAAACAUUACACAAAACAACAUAAACACAAAACAAACAAUACACAAAACUAAAAAACACUAUAUCAAUUCAAAAUAAAUUUGGGAAUAAAAAAUGCUUACCUUAAUAGUGUGUUGAAUGUAAGAUUUUAUCUACAAACAACACACAAAACAAAGAACACCAAAAAAAAUAAUCAUAAUUAAAAUAAAAAAAUACAAAGAUAAAGAAAAAGGAAUACAUACCUUGGUAAAAUCACAACCACCAAAACAAAGAAAUCUCUUCAAUUUAACAAAUAGAAACGGAGAGGAGAAGAGAAAUGGAGAAGAAGAGAAACGGAGCUGAGAGAAAAAAAUGAACCAAAUGGGGGGGGGAGUGGGGAUUUAUAUGGCAAUUUUUCCGAUGGAAUUACCGACGGACAUUAAUUGUUGUCGGUGGCAUUAAAUUCCGUCGGUAAUUCCGUCGGAAAUUAAUUGAAUUGCGCACCAAAAAAAGUUCGAAAAUCCCGCCAAACUUUUUGAUCCGUCGGUAUUCGUGCAGACGGACACGUGUCAGACAUGCGUGCGCUUCGGGAAGUGCGUAAAUCCGUCGGUAAUAGACGUCGGUACAGCCGUCGGUAUGUGUGUAGACGGACACGUGUCAGACAUGCGUGCGCUUCGGGAUGUGCGUAAUCCAUCGGUGAUUCCGUCGGUAGUGUACGUCGGUGAAUGUGGCACAAUCCCGUAAUUAUUUUGCAACUCUCUGUGAGAUACCGACGGGUUACAUUCCGUCGGCAAUUCCGUCGGUGAAUGUGGCACAAUCCCGUAAUUUUUUUGCAACUCUCUGUGAGAUACCGACGGGUUAUAUUCCGUCGGUAAACCCGUCGGUGAAACCGUAAAUUUUUCUUAUUUUUUUAUGUAACGCUUUCAAAAAAUCUUGAAUUGCAAUAUUACAGCACACACAACACAAUAACAAGGGCUGACCAUUAAAGAAGAAUAAAUAUUUCAUGUUUCAAAUUAUUGCAUAAUUAUAAAAUAAGGCUUUAUAACAUGUUUAGUUAGUCAGAAUUUUCAAUUAAAAAUGAUCACGAGUUCAAAUUUUUACCACUUUAUUUUUUUUAUACUUAAAAUAAAAUCAACAUAGCUAAUAAUAAAUUUAUGCAAGUUUUAAAUUAAAAGAAUUCACACAAAAAAUUGCAUUAAAAAAUAAUAUAAAAUCAUCAUCAAAAUAUUAGCUUACUACCAUGAGACAUGGAGCAUUCAUUUAUGAUUUUCCAACUACUUCUAUAAGUAUAAGAGUUGACCCUUCCCAUUGUACGUGGUCAUGACGUUUCAAUGAAAUUAAUCUCUAGUCAGUUAAAGUGUGGGAAAAAUAAAAAAGAGACGCAGCUUGUCGUUUCUAACUUGAAAAUGCAAAGAUUACCUCUAAAAUUUGGAAUUUAGUCAAAGGAAUCAAAUUAGCGGCGCCCUGCAAAUUAUGCGUUGAGCAUUUGUGGGCUGGAUUCAACCUAACCUAUAAAACAAAUCAAACUAAAUCGAUGUAUUUGGAUUUCAAAAAAAAAAUAAAAAUGAUGCGUGCAACAUAAGUUAAUAAAUUCACCUAACAUUUUGAAGACAUGCUGAUGGUUUUGGGACGGCAGGAUGGGCCGGUAAGGGACUGAGCCGAUGGAUCUGAAUUAUUAUUAUUAUUAUUAUUAUUUUUUAUUAAUAUGGGUGUCCAGGUCAGCUUGCGCGCAUCUUAACUAAUCUCACGGACCCUGAAGUUAACGACCAUGUAAGCCUCCAGUCAUGGACGAAGCCAAUAAUUUUUCCUCUCCAGAGCUAUUAAAUAAAUAUAUAAUUUUUUUUAAAGAUUAAUUAUUAACUUAUGUACAUGAAUUUUUGAAGUUAACAAUAAAGUUUUAAUUCAAAUACACUACCCAAAAUAUUAAAAAAUAAAUUUGAAAGUAUAUAAAAUUAAAGUGAAAGUAAAAAUAAACCCAUUAUUGAAGUUAUGUCCUUCGAUAUUUUGUGGAAUAUAAUUCAUCUAUAAUCGAAUCUGAAUCGAUAUUGUAACAACCCCUCAACCGGGAUAAAAUAGCAAUCUCAUGUCAACUGAAAAAUAAAGUAAUUAAUUUUUUUUCUCUCUCAAUUCCUCUUUCCUUCACUUGAUUCUUCAUUAGAUUAGUGUUUUAUAAGUUGGAUUUUGUAAGUUUACAAGGUUAUUCUCUCACUUUUUUUAUUUUUUCUUUGGAUUUUUUUUAUGUUUUCUCUUAUUUUCUCUCUUUCUCUCUCGCCUUUUUUUUUCUUUCUUUUCCUAUUCUGCUUCUACCCAGUCGGCAACAUAUAAAAAGAAGGAAGAGCUGAUUUGUUUUAUUUUUUAAUGGCAAAUAACUAUUUUACCCUUAAUGAGUCGUUUUGCUUUUAUUUGACGGUCCUUUUUUUUUGUUAGCACUACAAAGCUCCGUUCAUUCUAAAAUUUUAACCAGAUUUUAUUCAAUAUAUUUGAAGAUCUCUUGUAAAAUUUCAGCUCAAUCUGAUGGUCGGAUUGAAAUUAUGCCCAAUAACGUAAAACUGGUCAAAUUGUGAUUUUUCAUCAAAUUUCUGAAUUUCUCCAAAAAUUAUAAAAUUUUAACCUAAGCUAAAGCAUUAUAUUAAAAGGCUCCAAGAAAAUUUUCAGAAUUUUUUAAUAACUCAAUCGAGAAUUAUAAAUUGUUUUUACAUAAAACUAGUAAAAAAAUAUAUAUUGAUAAAAUCUUGACCUGGGCUAGCCUUUAACAUGCCUUCACUCUUGCUUCCACUGGCCCUGAGAUUUGUGAGAUUCGAACUGGUGAUCUCUAAAAAACAAACUUAAAACGUGAUUAGUUGAGCUACACCUCUCAGAAUUGAUGGAUCUGAAUUGUUAUACACCAAAGAUGAUGCAGUAAGAUUUGGGAAGGUUAAAGUAUCAAUCAAAACCAGAUUCACCACGCGUCUAAUAUGUAAUUGUUAGGUAUCGAAGAUAAUUUUUUUUAUUAUAGUCAAAACUAAUACAAGUUUUGAAUAAUUCUCAAACCCAAUCCUUACCAUAAUAUAAUAUUUUCUUGCUAGGUAUCUUUAUAGCACACAAGAACAUCCAAUAUCAUCUCUAAAUUAAAAAAAAUUAGGUCUAAGUACAGGCAUAUUUAUAAAUAAAGAACAUGUAUAACACUAAAACCUAUAAGAAUUCUUUUUUCUAGACAAAAACAAUCUUACAUUUAUAAAGUCUUCAUUAAUAUUCUUACUCCACCCACCAACUUUCAAAACGAUAUUUUAAAUGGAAGACAAUUCUCUUAAAUAUGAAAAUAGACUCUUGAAUUAUGCCAUUAUCCAUAAAAAAAACUAACUAUUACGUACAAGAAUACAUAUACGUGGAUGGAUAGAUAAUUAUAUCCCAACCUUGACAUGUCCUCAAUAUUUCCAAACUUGUUAAUUAGUUUUGACGUCAUCCUAUCAAAUUAUGAACGUAUUGACAUGUCCCUUGUUAAUUAGUCUAUUUGGGUUGUUACAUAGUAAUAUAAAAUAAGAAAUAUUAUUAGAUUAUUGUCUCACAAUUUAACUCUUGAAUUGAGAUAACUUCUUAGUAUAAUAUUAUCAUUGAAUAAUUUCUACGGACACCACGAUGGUAGAUUGUAGUAGGUGAAACACAUAUAAGAAAGAUCAAGAUAAAAAAAAAAACCAAUUAGGUACUAUUUUGUUAUUAUUUCAAGGUAAAAAAACAGAGAGAUAAUCGAAAUAAAAAUAUGUUUGAUUAAAAAAAUAAAAAUAAAAAAAUAAAAUAAAUAUGUUUUUUAUGAUAAUUAAUUUUUCAGUAAAUUUUUAUAUUUUAAAAAUAAAAAUUACAAAAAUUAUAUCCUUUUAGUCUCUUUUAUUUUGAUACAGUAAUCGAAUUCUACUGCAAUGAUUACAUGCAAUUAUUCAAUAUAUAUAGGUUUAGAUUCCUAUUAAAAGAAGGGGUAUUGAUUAAUAUCUAAAAACCAUCUCAAUCCAAUAACUUAAACUAUUAAGUAAAGUUUUUAUAUUAUUCUCUAACAAUCAAUAUAGUUAACCUGACAUGCAUGGAAUUCUAUAUAAAAUGGAGCCUACCCAGGGUACAAGAAACCAUCACUAGUCAUACACACAAAGAAAGAUAUGGACUAUGAAAUUGCAGGUCUGGUUCUAGCAGUCUUGCUAUGGGUUGCAUGGGCAGUGGUGACUCAACGUCGUUACCGUCGUUUUGAAGAGCAAGGGCAGCUACCACCAGGGCCUAGACCACUGCCAGUGGUUGGCAAUAUCUUCCUGCUGGGUUGGGCACCACACGAGUCUUUUGCUAAUUUGGCUCGUGUUCAUGGUCCAAUCAUGACCAUUUGGCUCGGGUCCAUGUGUAACGUGGUCAUUUCCUCGAGCGAAGUGGCUCGUGAGAUGUUCAAGAAUCAUGAUGCGGUGUUGGCUGGGAGAAAAAUCUACGAGGCUAUUAGAGGUGAUUUUGGCAAUGAAGGGUCUAUAAUCACAGCCCAAUAUGGACCGCAUUGGCGCAUGUUAAGGCGCUUAUGCACCACCGAAUUCUUUGUGAGUAGCCGCCUUGAUGCCAUGCAGGGUGCACGAACUAGGUGCAUCGAUGGCAUGCUGCAAUACAUAGAAGAUGAUAGUGCCAAUGGCACUAGCGCUAUUGACCUUGGGAGAUACUUUUUCUUGAUGGCUUUUAAUCUUAUUGGCAACCUCAUGUUUUCUAAAGAUUUAUUGGACCCAAAAUCGGAGAAGGGAGCUAAGUUUUUUCAGCAUGCAGGUAUAGUCUUGGAGUUGGCAGGUAAGCCUAACAUGGCUGAUUUUUUUCCAAUUUUAAGAUGGCUUGAUCCACAAGGUGUAAGGAGGAAGACACAGUUCCAUGUUGCAAGAGCCUUUGAGAUUGCAGGAGGGUUCAUCAAAGAAAGAACAGAGAGUGUGCAAAAGGAAAAUAGUAGAGAUGACAAGAGGAAAGAUUAUCUAGAUGUCCUUUUGGAGUUUCGUGGUGAUGGCGUGGAGGAGCCCUCUAGAUUUUCUUCAACAACGAUCAAUGCGAUUGUCUUAGUAAGUAGCAUCUCUUUUCCUAUGGUUCUCUUUUCUGUCCUAUCUUUGCAUACAAUUUUGUGUUUUUGUUCGGAGGCGGCGAAGCCUGUGUUAAUAUAAUUGUCUACCUAGUAAGUAACAUCUCGUUUGACAGCUUUGUUAAGCUCAGACCUCUGUUAGUAAAGUACUCCGCCCCGCUGAUAGGUUUACCUUCAGCUCUAGCUUGUGUUGGCCUUUUUUUUUAAAAAAAAAAAUCAAUCCAGAUUGAAUUAGUUGAUUGGACAUAUUAAUCUGUUACUCGGUUAGAAUUUCAUUGAUUUUUUUUCAAAAUUAUUGUUUUGAUCUUUAAAAAGAAUUUUAUUAGACUUACUUAAAAAUCAAUCUCAUGAUCCGAGACUUACACUGAAUGCAACUCCGAGUUAGGUCUAAUUAUAACUAUGGCUUGGACUAUGGAAACUAUAGUUCUACAUAAACGGUGGAACCAAAAAUUUAUCAAACCCGGCCUGAAUCAGUAGAUUAACCUAGAACCCAAUUGAUUUGACCUGUUGUUUAAGUUGAAUUUUAAAAUAAAAUUAACUUUGAGAUGAUACUGUUUGGCUUGAUCGACACUACUAGUUAAUUUGAUCAAAAUUUUAUUUGAUUUUUUUAAUUUUUUUUUAAAAUAAUAUUGUUUUGAUUAAUUUUAUUUAAUUCACCCAACUCAUGACUCAAAGUUUAAACUAGGUAUAAUAUCUUUGUUUUUAAGUAAUGUUCAAAAACAUAAAUUAAUUAUCAUAUUUAUCUCGGGCCUGGGUUUUUUCCAAACCAUAGUAAAGAAAUUAUUAGGAGAUAAUAUACAAAAUUAAAUCACUAACAAUCUUAAUUAUUGUCAUGAUUUUUUCUUAUAGGAAAUGUUUACGGCAGGGACUGAUACAACAACAAGCACUUUGGAAUGGGCCAUGGCUGAACUUCUACGUAACCCUAACGUAAUGAAGACAGUCCAAUCCGAGUUGAGAAGCACCAUUGGCCCCAACAAGAAGCUCGAAGAUAAAGACAUUGAGAAUCUCCCAUACCUAAAGGCAGUCAUCAGGGAAACACUGAGACUUCACCCUCCUCUCCCUUUUUUAGUCCCGCACAUGGCCAUGAACCCUUGCAAGAUGCUAGGCUAUUACAUCCCUAAAGAGACAACAAUUCUAGUUAAUGUGUGGGCCAUUGGAAGGGAUUCAAAGACUUGGGAUGACCCUUUGGUUUUCAAGCCAGAAAGGUUCUUGGAACCAAACAUGGUGGAUUACAAAGGUCGUCAUUUUGAGUUCAUACCAUUUGGUUCUGGCCGUAGAAUGUGCCCUGCCAUGCCGCUCGCUUCUCGUGUACUUCAUUUGGCUCUUGGAUCGCUCUUGCUUUCAUUUGAUUGGAUUUUGCCAGAUGGCCUCAAGCCAGAGGACAUGGACAUGACUGAAAAAAUAGGGAUAACACUUCGAAAAAAUGUUCCUUUAAAGGUCAUACCAACACCUUACAAGGGGUCAUCACAUCAUUAUGGGUUUUGAGUUGAAAUGAGAUCUUCUAAAAAAAUAGACUCGUAACCUAAAUUUUAGGCAAGCCAGACACAGGCUGUGUCUUAUAUCUAAGUUACAAAAUGUUAUAUUAGUAUUGUAUUCAAUUUAGUUGUUUGAGUCAUAUAUUUUGUUGUUAUCCAUUUUUGGAUUCCCCACAAAAAAUAAAAAAAAUACAAAAAAAUACACAUCAAAAAAAUAUAUUCGGAAGGAAUAAAAAAAAAAUAGGAGUGAGAAAAAGUUGCUGGAACUACCAUAAAAUGGCUAGGAAUUGGUUGAGGAGGUUCAGAAAUACAAGAAUUGAAAUUUGACAGUAAGAACCCUGUUGAUAAGGAAAAUUCAAUUUGAGGAAGAAAAGUCCAAAAUUAGAUGUUUAUGAACUCAAUUAAAUUUUAUCCAAGGUUUAAUUGAAUUUAUAGAGGGUUUGAUUGCAAGAAAAUUGAUUUCUUAAGUCAAUUUCGGCUUUUAUUGGAAGAAAUUAAAAUUCUGGGGUCCAAUUAUAAUUUUAAAGAGUUGAUUUGGUCAAAUCAGAGGCUUAAUUGCAUAAUUAUUCAAGUUUGAUGGUCAAUUAAGGACUUAAUUGAAACAAUCCAAAACCAAGGACUAAAUCGGAAAAAGCGCUAACAUCAAGGGGUCUAAUUAUAAUUUUUCUAGGGGGCUUGAUUACAAAAUUGUUAAAACAUCCAAGGACCAAAUCAGAAAUAUUCUUUUUGAAUUAGAAAACGACGCCGUUUCAUUUGUUCAUCACCUUCUUCAUCUGCAACGGUUUCUACAGUAAAGGCAAUGCAGGCGUUACCAGCUUCAAUCAAGGAGCACGUUUAGCGGCUGACAUCCCUCGCCACCGUGAUGCACGCCGGCCGUUACCACGAAACGCCUGCGUCCUCUGGCUAUAAAAGCCAGAGGAGGAACCGAACCGGGGAGGAGGAGGGUGAAGACGCGACAGGAAAAAAAGAGAGAAAGAAAGACAGAAGAGGCAUAGUGAGCAGUACGUGAGGAGAAACAGAAGCAGGCAAAAGGCAGGAGGAAGAAGAAGAAAAUACAGAAAAAACCAAAACAGCGUCCCCCGCUUACCACCACCCGUCUUCCUCUUCGCCGCAACCAACAGCACCGCUAGCACCAGCAACACCUCCACGGAGCCACUGCAGAGAGGCAAGAACACUGUUGACGGGAGAAACGAAAUACAGAGGAAACAAGCAGUACGGCGAAGCAGAGGUGAGAAGAAAGAGAAGCAACGUCUGCCACCACAGCCGGGUGCCGCGACGUCAGCUUCUCACCAUCGUCCUCCCCCUGCUGCAACACCCGUGAAGAAGAAGAAGAAGCCUGCGCCUCUGCACAGACGGGAAGAAUAGCAGCAAACACUGCCCGCCACCGCAGAGAAGAGCCAUCGUCUGCAGCCACCAGUGCCACCUUAAGCCACCAUCAACAACGACAUCACCACCAUUAGAAGUAGAAGAAGAAAAAGAGAAACAGGAGACAGAAGCGGGGAGAAGAAGGAACACAGAAAAAACAAAGAGAAGGAAUAGAACCACCGCCCAACAGCAUAUAACCGGCAGCUUCAGCUCCCGCAAGAACGGACAACCGCCAGGUAAGCCUCCACUUCUCUUCUUCUUCUUCUUCCUCGCCCGGGCUGCUCCACUGUUCACGUUGCAUGUGAACAGUGGAGAGUUCUCCACUGUUUGUUUUUGUUUACUGGGCUGGGCAGUGCCGGCCCAGCCCAAAAUGAGUGGGCCGGGUCCGGCCCAGCCCAAAAAUAAAAAAACUGUUUUCAGAAAAUUUGUGAUUUCCCCGCGUAUUUUUUAUUGUAUUUUGAUCAAUAUUGGUUUGUAUUUUUAUACUGUAAAGAUAUAAAUCCGGUAUUAAAAUACCUAGUUUUCGUCAAAACAUAAAAAAAAUAUUUUGUCUUCAUGCAUACGGCCAAGUCUCUAAAAAAAAUCAUAUCAUAUUUUCAUACAACAAAAAUUCAAAAAAAAUAGGUAUUAGCAUGCAUUUUGACUUUAAUAACCAGUUUAUUAAAGUCACGAGAACUAAGCCAAUAUUUCAAAAAUUUUUAAAAAAAUUAUUUUGUUUUCUUUUAAUAUCUAGGGUUAUGAUCUUAUAUGUAAGACAUAUUCCGGAUAUUAAAUUCUUUUGUUGAGGUUAGAACGAUUAGGUUUUACCCGAUAAGAUAAGGACCUCUUUACUUUGGAGAACUUUUUUUAAAUCAGAGACGGACCAACAACUAGAAAACACGAUAAGACUUUAGAUUUUAUCAGACAAUAAAACAAUGCAGCUUACCUUAGGUAGGGCGUAUUUAGAGUGCUAAUACAUUCCCUUUACGCAACCAGUCCCCGUACCCAAUCUCUGAGACCAGUUAGGGUUCCUAAUGAUCAAAAUACUAGGUGGCGACUCUCAUUCCAUUUUUCCACUAAUAAAAGACAAGAAUUCCUUGUCUCCCCACAUUUGCCACAUUUUUAGAUAAUACAGAAUUUGAGGGUGGAUGUUUUCGUCGCGACGCAGCACACGUGCGACAUAUUUGAUUCUUAAUUUGUAUGUGCAUGUAUAUUAAUGUCUAUCUAUAUAUAAUCUAGUUGUGGAGAAGUUUUUUUAAUUAAUUAGCGUGUUUGGUAAUGCGGUUUAACCUAUUUUUCAAACUAAUUUUUAUUUUUAAAAAAUAUUAAAUUAAUGUUUUAAGGUGUCUGUCGAUGAUUUUGAUGUAUUGAUGUUAAAAAUAAAAUAAAAUCUAAAAACAAUAUUAUUUUGAUACAUUUUUAAUUGAAAAACACUUUAAAAAACACUGUGCACUUCAUUAACAAACACACACUAAAAAUUUCACAACCCAUUUCUAGGUUAUUCCCUUAAAUUUACCCUUUAUUUCCUUUUUAAAGUAAAAAUAAAUAAUAAUACAAAGGAAAUUGGCGAUGAGGAAAAAACUGGCUAAGGAAGGAUUUCAAAUAUGCAUAAAAUCAAGCUACAAUUUUGGACAAAGUCGAAAGCCUGAUCGUGCCCUGUUGUGCUCAAAACUAAAGAAACAAUGCAGAUCUAAGGUCAAAUUAAAUGAUAUUGGAUGAAUCUGCAUAAUAAUUAAGUUCAAGGACAUAAUUAGAUUUUUAAUAGUCUAAUUUGAUUUAAUCAUGGGUCAAAUUAAAAGUUUAAUUAUGUUCAAGAAUUAAUUUGGGUGCAAUUAAAGGAUUUAAUUAUGUGCAAGGACUUAAUUAUACUUUAAAUGGGUCAAAUUAAUUUUAUUAGGGGCUUAAUUGGAGAAAAAUUAAGUUUGAGAGCCUAAUUUUAGCUUAAUUGAGAAUGUUAAAAUUUUAGAUGAUCAAAUUUAAUUUUUACCAAGUCAAUUGAUUCAAAUCAGGGGUGAAAGUGCGAGAAAAUAAAAAGUUUGGUGUCAAUUAAAGGCUAAAUUGAAGAAAUUCAUAGCCAAUGAGGAUUAUUUUGCAUAAAUCCAAGACCAAGAACCAAAAUGAAAAAGGCGUUGAAAUUUGGGGUUGGCAUUGAAUUUUGGCAAGGGCAAAAUUGCAUAAAAUUAGAAGUUUAAGGUCAAUUAGGUGUCCAAUUAAAAGAAAUUAAAAGUCGGAGGAUCUAAAUGAAUUUUAGCUAAACCGCUAAAUUAAAACCCUAAAAAUUCCAAAACAACACCAUUUUGAACAGUAAAAAAAAGGAUCAUACAACGUGUUGUCUAAUUUUAUUUGUCUUUUUUUUUCUUCAGGUCAAAAUGACUGCCAAGGGGGCUACUUUUAAGGGGCAUUUAAUGUUUCUUCUCUCCUUCAAAUUUGACAAAACAUAUAUGAAAAUGAUGGCCUAACAUUCUACCAUACCCCGAUAUGGUUUUUUCCGGCUAAUUGACACCAUAGCGGCUCCUUAAAAUGGCCAACCGGACUAACAUUUUAGUAGCUAUAUUGACAGUUCAUUAUGACCACUUUGAGUUAACGAUUAAGAUCUUUCUGCGUCAAAUCAAGGGCCAAGAUUUAACAUCAGUAAAGACAAAAUGCUCAUCUUCCACCCCCAAAGUUUGGACCAUACUGAUAUUUCACAAUGGUGGCUUUCUAUCCAUUUACAUUAAUAAACAAAGACAGGAGGUGGAAAUUGCCUCUCCACCUUAUUAUCUUACCAAACCACUUAGAUGUCAUUAGCAUAACCCCAUAAAAGGUUACAGUUCAUGCAGUAAAAAGUAUAAACGAAUACGGGUAAAAGAGUGAUUAGAUUAAAUUCAUUGAAAGUUUUUAGAAAAUAAAAUAGUGAAGGACAAGGAAUGUUUGGACAACAAAAAUAUAGACACUGACAGCGACAGCUGGAAUGCAUGAGCCAUCUAAUGCAUGCAAGUUGGAGACCUAAUUAAGGAAAACAAGUACGAGUACUCCUCAAAUCAUAACAGGGUGGAGAAAGGAAAAACUGGAAACAAACCAGAGUUGUGUUUUCCAUAAGCAAAGUAUAUUACCACAUCCUCUUUUUAAUAAUGAUAAGCAUCCAUCAGUUGAUCCAACCAUGCGAAAAUGUUGGGGAUCUUCUUUUGAUGCACUAAGCAGCACUUUUGGCCGCUUGUGUUUCUGAAGCUUCCUGAGUACUCCAGGCAUCUCAUUGCUUUCUCGUUCACUAUCUGAACACAAGGUACCCGAUUCAUAUUGUAAAGGGCCUCCACCAUUUCCACAGAUCUGUUGCGCACUUCAGCAGCUACCUGAUCAUCAACAACAAUAAAAAAUUAAGAUGAUACUUAAAGUGUACGAUGAACUUAAUUGCACAAAUUAAAGUUCAUGGAAAAUUAUCAUGCUGAAUAGAACCAAGAAAGUAUAAUGAUGGAAUGGAGUCACGAUAACACAUAAGGCAUACUUUCUUCCAGUUCUUUCCAUUUUCCCGAUAUGCUUUGUAAAAUCGUUCAAGUUCUGCCUUCUUCCAUUGAGGUCCUAACGUAUCAAAUUUCAAAUUUUCAGAAUUUUUUUUUUAAAAUGAAUUUCAGAAACAACUAAAAUAAUUCAAAAAUAAACCCCCCAAAAUUGAAAAAAGAAAUUCAAAUUCAAAACAUCACCAAAACCCAAAAUUUCAAUUCGACUAAAAUAUAUAAAUUUCAUAAAUUAUUUAAAAUAAAAUAAAUAACAAUCAAAAGAAUAAGGAUAAAAUUUGAUAGAUAAAAAAUUUUUAAUAAGAAAAAAUAAUAAGAGAAAAACAUAUAACAAUCAAAAGCACGAGAAUCAACAUUGAUAUAACAAUCAAAUUAAAUCAAAUUCUAAGGGAAAAAAUUAAAAAAAAUAAUAAAAAAUUAUUUAAAAAAAUAUAGCAGUCAAAAGAUUAAGGAUCAAAUUUGAUAUAAUCACCAGAUAACAAGAUAUUUUUAAUUUUUCACAACUUCUAGAAAAUAUUUUUUUGUCCAAAAUAACAGAAAAAAGUUUAAAUUGCCAAGUUGUAAUUUUAACUUGCUCGUCAAAUGUGGCCUGUUUGGGAUCGUGGUUGCUGUUACUUUUUAAAGUGUUUUUCAUGCUGAAAUAUAUCAAAAUGAUGUUAUUUUAUUUUUUAAAAAUUAUUUUUGAGAUUAACGCAUCAGAAACAUCCAAAACAUACAAAGAAAUUAAUUUUUAACAAAAAAAAACAAUUUGAAUUUUUUGAAAACCCAUCCCCAUUUAGGUUUUGGAUCAUAAAUUUUUGAAUCGACUUGUCAUGCCGCGCUAAGUUUAACAACCAUGUUAUUAACAUAUCAAUGGCUGUGAAUCAGAGAUGACGAUCAAAUUAUAUUAUGGUCUCCAGUGUUUAAAAAUGUUACUAUCCACUUCAAAUAGAGUUUGAGUCAUGUGAUGCACAAAUUAUAUUAGUACACUUUCAAAUACGCUCUCUAGAAUACUAAUAAAACACGUGACUAAUAUAUUUUAAAUUAAAAAACACAUUUAAAAAAUACUUUACAAUACAUUAUCAAACGCACAAGUCUAGCUCUCGAAAAGAUAUUUAAAUUACUAAUUAAGUUGUCAUUUUAAUUUACGGGUUAAUUAUUUAUAUUUGAAAACUCAACUCCAAUAAAGUUUUGGAUUGUAAAUUUUUUAAUCAACCUGUAGUGUUAAGUCAAGUUUAACAACCAUGUUAUUAACAUAUCAAUGGUUUCAACUUAGCCGACAUGUCAUUUAAAGAUUCAAGAUUGAGUACUUGCGAGGCUAUAUAUAGGCUAUUAACUAAUGUUUCUUGAAUCAAGGUUUCUGUGAAUAAAUGUUCUAGUUUCCCACCAGGUGGAAGUGGUUGCAAUUCCAUGUUCUUGAUUUGUUCCUAUUUCAAAAUCAUUAAACAUAAUAAUAAUAAAAAAUAUACAACCAAUAGUUUUUUUUUCUCUUUUUUUACUCCCUGGAUCUGUUGUCAAGGUACAGGGGCUUCUUUGAAGUGGAAUAACCCGACCACAAAAAUGCAGUGAUACAAAAUGCAUAUGCUCUACCCAGGAUAGAAAAUGCCUAAGUAUUAAAAUUCAAGUUUUAUAAUUACAUUAAUAUUUGGGAGUGCAAUAACUUCUGCUUUUAAAUAUAUUUUACUUGAAAAGAUAUAAAAUUGAUGUUUUUUAUAAUGUUUUAUUUAUAAUUGUAAUGUACCGAUAUCAAACCUCAAAAAAUAUAAAAAAAUAAAUUAUAAAAAACAUCACGCAUUGCAUUACAAAACACACAUUAAUAUCAGCUGAUAUUCUAAAAUUUGAGAUAAUCCUGUAUUUUUGGUGAAUCUAAGAGUUUCAAAAAUGAUUGAUCAUAAUUUAUAAUUUAUGGGUGAUUUUUUUAUUAUUUAUUUUUUUUAUUCUAUUUAAAAAAUAAUACCUAUAAUUAUUAUCUCGUAAAACUUUCAAGAAAAAAGAAAAAAAGUAAGACAAAAUCUGUGAUGGUACCCACAUGAAAUAGCAUUUACUCCGAUAAUCCAAAGCCCUUAAAAAUCAAGAGCCCACGAUCAACUUGAAUGGGUACACUUAUCUCGCUUAGACGACCCCGAUUCUUCUUUAGUUUUAAAUAAUCUUUUCAAUUCAGUUGUUGUAUCUUGCAUUUUUACAUUUUUAUAAGCAAGCCCUAUUUCUCAUAAUUUUUAGACCCGGUCCGAUCCAAGAUCUGGAUUUCGAGUUUUGACCGGGUCACCGGAUCAAUUCUUUUUUUAAAGAAAAAAUCAAAACAACGUCAUUUUAGUAAAAAAAAAAAAAUCAACGGGUUGCAACCUGGUUUUUGACCGAGUCUUGCCGGGUCAACCGGGUUUUUUCUUCCCCUGUUUUUUCUUCAACCCAGCCCGGUUCUAGCCCCGGGUCGACCCACCGCACCGGACCGGGUUUUAAAACUAGGCUACUUCUUGAAUUUUUAAAAAUGUUGUUAUGCAAAUUAAAUAUGAUUUUAGAAUUGAUUUUUUACUUCAAAUCAUAAUUGUUUUUCAUAAGCAAUAAACUGCAUUACAACGUAGAAAUAAUUAAAAUUUAUCUUGAAUCAAGAGAAAGUGUGCAUAACCAGGAUAUCAUACAGUAAUAAUUUCAUGUACAUGCUAUAAAUCUUACUUCAGAUCACAUUUUAUCAUUCAUAUUGAUGUUUAUAAAUUAGAAAUUACAAUCAAGCCCUUGGAGUCAUGGUUAAAAAAUUUGAAUGAUAAGGAUAAUGUUAUACUUUUACUGUUCUAUCAAAUAUGAAAAUACAAAAACCCCUUUAUACAUGUAAUAAUCCAAUUUUGGAUUCUUCAAAUUUUCUUUAAAUGUUAUUUUAUUUUUAUUAUUAUUCAUAAAAAAUCCAAAAAAAAAGAAAAAAAGUUAAAAUUCAAAAAUAUAUUUUUCUCGGGUCAACUGUCAUCUUCCAUAAAAAACGAGCCCAUCGGAUCAAUACGAGUUAAACCAUGUCGACCGAAAUAAAAAUUGAGUUUCAGGCCGUUUUGGGUCAAACCCGUCAUUUCGGUCAAAACUGAGUCCAUCGGGUCAAUACGAGGCAAACCAUGUCGACCGGGGUAAAAAUUGAGUUUUAGGCCUUUUCGGGUCAAAACUGUCAUUUUUUGGUCAAAACCGAGUCUACCAAGUUUAUACGGGUCAAACCUUGUUGACCAUGAUAAAAAUUGAGUUUUAGGCUAUUUUGGAUCAAAACUGUUAUUUUCUAUCAAAACCCGGUUCACCGGGUUGAUAGUGGUCGAAUUUGUUUUUAAUGGUUUUUGAAAUUGACCUGUUUGUUUCUGCGUUUCAAAAGCACUUUUGAAAAAAUUUGAAAUUUUUUUAUUUUUUUAUUAACUUCAAAUUAAUAUAUUUUUAGUGUUUUCAAAUCAUUUUGAAGUGCUUAUGUUAAAAAUAAUUUUUAAAAAAUAAAAAAAAAUCAUUGACAUGUAUUUUAGCACAAAAAAUUAUUUUAUUUUUCGGUAAUCAAAGUUAAUUUUUAGCGGUUGAACGGGCAUUUUUUAAUACUGAUCGGCGUUUUAGUUUUACCCACAUAUAUAUUUAUUAUUAUACAAAUCAAUAAUGCAGAAAUAUUUACUGUAGUAGUUGGUGCAGUUGAGGCAUGUGAAGUUUUUUCUUCGGACAAAGCCGUGUCUCCUGGUUAUAAAUGCCCUGUUCCCCUAGGCCCUAGUCAUUGGCUAUAAAAGCCAGUAAAAGAGAACAGAAAGGAAGAAGUGAAUCCUAAUGCUGAUACUAUUAAUGUUUUUUUAGUUUUUCUUCACGCGAGUAAAGUAUUGAUUUUUUUAAAAAACAAUUUAAAAAAUACUAAAAAAUAUCAUAACCAUUAGAUUAAAUAGUAUUUAGUUCUGGAUCAUUAAUUAGAUCUGAUCAAACAGGGCAAAGUACACUAGAUUAAAACCCAAAUCCAUCUCAGCCCUUUAAACGGUCUGUCCUUUGAUCCUGUCUUGCCACGUCACCUGGUGUACCAAGCCCCAGGUGCAUCCUAUCACACUGAAGCAAAGCAAAGAUCUGACAAUCGGGGCCGUCUAUUAAUUUUUAGUUCAAGCAAACCGUAGCCGUAUGAUCAAUUCAUAACUGAUCCAACGGUCCAUGAGAUCCGAUGCACCAGGUUACCAUGCUAACUUCGCACUAUAGCAGAUCUAAGAGAUUCUCCCUCCUCUCGCCGGCGAUCCUCUCUCCACACGGAUCUCCCAACUCCGGCCACUUAAAGAGUCUGGACCACCACAGAAAGGUUCCUUACCUAAUCGCUAGAAAACCCCAGGCGUUUUUCAUCGCUUUCUCUGCCGUAUCUUUCCGGAAAAAGGCCGCGACAUCUUCGGCCACCCGAAGCUUCAAACCGUCGAUUCUCUCUCAUAAGAUUAAAUGAUAUUAUUGUAAUGAAUAGUAAAUAGUGCUACGAGAAAUUGAACAACCGCGUACAAUCCUUAAAAGACAUUUAUAUUAUUGUAAUCGCCUAAUUUCACGGGCCCUGAAGUUAACGAUUAUGUAAGUCUCUAGUGGCCCUGAGAUUUGUGAGACUGGAACAAGUGACCUCUAGGAUGAAGUGCCCGUUUGGCACUGCGGCUACGGCUAGAAUAAACGCAGGAUUGGUUAAGUUGAAUCGCAUUUUUUAUUUCACGUGAGUCCCACUCAGAAACUGAUGUCGAAUCUCAGUUUUUGAAAAGCAAUUGCUUUUAUGUCCGUGUUCUCCUCUCUCUUAUAUUUUUUACAAUAGCCUUAAUCUUAAUCUUAAUCUUAAUCUUCCAUUUGGAUUAUUUUAUUUCCACUAGACGGCUUGUCUUAAUAAUGCAUGUGAAUGGGGAUUCGGAGGUCAUCGCGAAUCACCCAAAUCCACGGAAGAAUCUUAGAAAUGAAUGACUUGUCAAAUAUUGAAACCAUACUCUUUUUGGUAACGUCUUACUUGUCAACUACAAGGGGGGAAAUAAAAAAAGAGACGAAGCUUAUCAUUUCGGAUUUCAUCAUGCAAAGGAAUAUACCCGAAACAUUGGGAUUGGUUUUUAUUUUAUUUUAUAAUCAUCGUUUGAUUUAUUGAAAAGUAGUUAUUAGCCAUUUAAUUAAUGACUAAACAACCGAAAAUAAGAGUUAAUACGGAAGGAGCAAUAUAUAGAAAAACGAAAUACAAAAAUCUCUAUUAAUUUCCUUAAUUACCUAAAUUAAUUCUGGGAUUUAAUUAGACAAAGGAAUCAAUUUAGCUCCCCGCAAAUUAUGCAUUAAAAGUCAACUUAAUUGGUGUAUUUAGAAUCAAAUUAGAGGAGACUAAGUUAAUCAAUUCAUGCAACAUAAGCUCACCAAUUCACGUAACAUAUUAGAUAAUAUUGAUGGAUUGGGACCGCAAGAGGGAUAGGGGACCAAGCCGAUGUAGAGACGGAAUCAAGGGGAAGUAAGCAGGGGCUAAAUAAUAAAUAAAUAUAAUGAUGGAUUUUGUAGGUUAGUUUUUUAUUGCUUAGUAACUAAGAUGUACUAUUUAAAUAGGUGGGCCCAACUAAUGUAAAUAUAUUUGUUAUCUUUGACUUAAAAACUAUCUACGUGGAAAGAAAAAAUAUGAAGUUAUAUGGAUUUUGCCGUUUACUCUCAGCUGCAGCUCUAAUAUAAAGGGUAAAAUAUAGAAAUAAUUAGAAUAUAAAUUGCAAACAGAAAUAUUGAAGCAGAGCGCCACCGAUUAAUUCCUCUUUCAUCAAACAAAUCAAGGUAAUUGAGCAUUGCUAACCUCAAAUUUAAAAUUUAUUUUUAUUUUGUUUUGAGAUAUUUGUUAAGAAUUUGAUGAGGUUUUUUCAUAAUUCUAUUAUUUUUGCUUCUUUUUGUUUUUUUGCUCAGAUCUGCUAGUUUUACCAAAUUUGUUUUUGAAUUCUUGUUAUAGUGAUUUUUUUUCUAAUUAAUUAGAUAUAUUUUAUUGCUUUGUCUUGAUUAUAAUUGGAUUUUUUUAUGUUUUGCUUUUAGCAGAGCCAUCAAAAUUACCAAUUUUUUUCUCAUGAUAUAUGUUUUGAUUUUAGGUUGAACCAUGAACAAAAUAAGAAGAAUUGAUUCUUUUGUUGAGAAAAAGAGAACAAAUAUUGAUAACUCACAGCCUAGUGAACCAACUCCAAUGUGUAAUGUUGAAGUUAUGGUUGAGCAACCUCAAUGUGCUUCAGUUUACGAAGAACCUACACUGAUUAGUGAGCAGUCUCUUACUAGAAUCGACAUUGCUCAUUUACUUAGAGAUCCAAGCAAUUGUCCUCAAAUUUGGGAAUACUUGGUUAAUCAACAAGAUGAAAUUCCAAGGGCAUACAUUAAUUUGGGACCAUAUCAACCUUUGAUGUCUAAAUACCCACUGACUGGUGAAAAACAUCCUCGUCGAUUUCAAUCUCAUUGGUUCAAAAGUUAUCCAUGGCUUGAAUAUUCAGAGAAAAAUACUGCAUUUUGUUUCCCUUGCUAUUUAUUUCCAAGUAAACCAUUAUUAUCGGGUUGAUAUAUUUACAUCUAUCAUUAAUCAACAAUUGCAAGAGAGCUAAAUAAUAUAUUCGAUGAACAGGCAAUCGAGCUUCUUAAGUUGAGCACAACUUUAGAUCCUAGAAAUAACUAUAAAUUAUUCAAUAUUGAAGAUAUAUGCUUACUUGUUGACAAGUUUUAUCCUGAAGAUUUUUCUGACCAAGAAAAAAUUCAUUUGAGACUUCAGUUGCAGCAUUAUGAGCUUGAUAUCCCCAAUCAUCCAAAAUUAAAGAAUAUGUCAUCGAUUACUGAUUUAUGUCAAGGAUUGGUUGAAACAUAAAAAUCAACAAUUUAUUCACUCAUUGACAGGUUGAUUCGGCUUAUUUUAACUCUUCCUGUUUCGACAGCAACUACUGAAUGAGCUUUUUCAGCAAUGAAGAUUGUUAAAACAAGACUUCGCAAUCGGAUGGAAGAAGAUUUUCUUGCAAAUUAUUUGAUUGUCUAUAUAGAAAAAGAAAUUGCUGAAAGAUUCACAAUUGAUAUGAUAAUCGAUGAUUUCUAUUGUAUGAAAGAACGACGAGCACAAUUAAAAUAAAUAUGUAAGAAUCAUUUUUUAUUAUUUUUUACUUUAUUUUAAAGUUUAUCAAACAUAAAUAAUGUUUCGCUUUAUCUAAUGUUUCUUAUAUACUUUCUAUGUUUAUAUUUGAUAGGUAUAAAGACAAACAAAAUUAAAGUGAUAGAUACAUUAUGAAGAUAAAAUUAACUUCAUCGCUUUGACUCAAUUUGAUAUUGCUUAAAAUCUUUUACCUUGUGCAAAGGUCAUUAUAUGUUUGUAUUUUUUUUUAUAACUCAUGUACAAUAAAGUGAUAGUACGAAUGUGCCUGUAUCCACAAGCAAAGAGAGAUUUCUUAUUAUAAUCAAAACCAAUAAAAGUUUUGAAAAAAAUCUCAAACCCUAAUUCAAAAUAUAUUUAGGCCAAUCCGAUCCUCACAGCACACUAUGAAUUUCUCAUGCUUGCUAUCUUUUUCGCACACAAGAAUGUGCAUGGUUAUGCUUAGAAAAAAAACCUAGGCCUAAAUACGUAAUUGUAGAUAAUAUGUUUUAGUUAUUCUGAUGGCUUGAGGAUUAGUAAAAUACUAGUUUUAUUAAAUUUUUUUUUUCUAGAUUUAUAAAGUUUUCAUUGUUUAAUUUGUGACAUCUUCAUAUAAUAAAAAUAUGAACUCGUACACAUUUCAAUAGAAAUCCAUAAGAAAUUUAAUUAUUAGAAGAAGACAUAAGUACUUAACUAAUUAAAUCCCGACCACCUCAAAUACACACACACACAUUUGUUCCCUUUUAACCACCUUAGGAUUUACGAACUUCUUAAUUACUUUUGUCAUCCUUUAAGAACAUAUUUACAUGUACCUUUUUAACUAGUCUGAUUUUGAUUUGGAGAACAUAUUUACAUGUAACUUUUUAAUUAGUCUGAUUUUGAUUUGGAUGUAUUACAAGGCACGCAAUAUAAUAAGAAAUAUUAUGCUUUUUCAUCCCAAAAAUUUAAAAUUUAAGAUUAAAAUAUCUAUACAACAUAAUAUUAUAAUUUUAAUAAUUAAAUGAUCACGAGUUUAAUUUUUACCGCUCUAUUUUUUUUAAACUUUAAAUCAAAUCAACAUAACUAAUAAUAAAUUUAUGCAAGUUUUAAAUUAAAAUAUUUCACAUAAAAAAUUGCAUUAAAAAAUAAUAUAAAAUCAUCAUCAAAAUAUGAGCUUACUAGCUACCAUGAGACAUGGAGCAUUUAUGAUUUUCCAACUACUUCUAGAAGAGUUGUCCGUUCCCAUUGUACCUCUAAAGUGUGGGAAAAAUGAAAAAGAGACGAAGCUUGUCGUUUCUAACUUGAAAAUUUGGAAUUUAGUCGAAGGAAUCAAAUUAGCGGCGCCCUGCAAAUUAUGCGUUGAGCAUUUAUGGGCUGGAUUCAACCUAACCUAUAAAACAAAUCAAACUAAAUUGAUGUAUUUGGGUUUCAUAAAAAAAAAAAUGAUGCAUGUGGAAUGAAAUUAGUAGUGGGGACUAAGUCAAUCAAUUCGUGCAACAUAAGUUAAUAAAUUCACGUAACAUAUAGAAGACAUGCUUAUGGUUUUGGGACUGCAGGAAGGGCCGACAGGGGACCAAGCCGAUGGAUGUGAAUUAUUAUUAUUUUAUUUUUGAUUAAUGUGGGUGUUCGGAUCAACUUUCAUGCACCUCGACUAAUUCUAUAGGCCCUGAAGUUAAUGACCAUAUAAACUUCCAGUGACCCUGAGGUUUGUGAGACCCGAACUAGUGAUCUCUAGGAAAAAAACUUAGAACCUGACUAGUUGAGUUUCACCUCUCAGAGUUGAUGGAUCUGAAUUAUUAUACACCAAAGCUGAUGCAGUAAGAUUUUGGAAGAUUAAAGUAUCAACCAAAACCAGAUUCACCAUGCGUCUAAUCUGUAAUUGUUAGGUAUCAAAGAUAAUUUUUUUUAUUAUAGUCAAAACUAAUACAAGUUUUGAAUAAUUCUCAACCCCAAUCCUUACCAUAAUAUAAUAUUUUCUUGCUAGGUAUCUUUAUAGCACACAAGAACAUGUAAUAUCAUCUCUAAAUUAAAAAAAAUUAGGUUUAAGUACAGACAUAUUUACAAAUAAAGAACAUGUUUUAAUGGGAAAAUGAUUAGUAUAACACUAAAACCUAUAAGAAUUCUUUUUUCUAGACAAAAACAAUCUUACAUUUAUAAAGCAUAGUUUUGAAACCCGGCCCGGCCCGACGGGUCGACCCGGGGCUGGAACCGGGCCGGAUUGAAGAAAAAAUGGGAGAAGAAAAAACCCGGUGUGACCUGACGACCCGGCUGACCCGACAAGACCUGGUUGCAAACCCGUUGACUUUUGUUUUUUUUUUAAACUAAAAUGAUGUCGUUUUGAUUUUUUUUUUAAAAAAAUGACCCGGCCGACUUGGUGACCUGGUCAAAACCCGGAACCCGGGCCUUGAACCAGGCGGCCACCAGGACCUAUGUUAUAAAGUCUUCAUUAUUUAAUGCGAAAACGAAGGAAAUGCUUUACCUAAUAUUCUUACUCCACCCACCAACUUUCAGAACGAUAUUUUAAAUGGAAGACAAUUCUCUUAAAUAUGAAAAUAGACUCUUGAAUUAUGCCAUUAUCCAUAAAAAACUAACUAUUACGUACAAGAAUACAUAUACGUUGAUGGAUAGAUAAUUAUAUCCCAACCUUGACAUGUCCUCAAUAUUUCAACUUGUUAAUUAGUUUUGACGUCAUCCUAUCAAAUUAUGAACGUAUUGACAUGUCCCUUGUUAAUUAGUCUAUUUGGGUUGUAACAUAGUAAUAUAAAAUAAGAAAUAUUAUUAGAUUAUUGUCCCACAAUAUAGUUCUUGAAUUGAGAUAACUUCUUAGUAUAAUAUAAAUCAUUGAAUAAUUUCAACGGACACCACGAUGGUAGGAAUGUAGUAGGUGAAACACAUAUAAGAAAGAUCAAGAUAAAAAAAAACCAAUUAGGUACUAUUUUGUUAUUAUUUCAAGGUAAAAAGACAGAGAGAUAUUCGAAAUAAAAAUAUGUUUGAUUAAAAUAAUAAUAUAAAAUAAAUAUUUUUUUAUGAUAAUUAAUUUUACAGUAAAUUUUUAUAUUUUAAAAAUAAAAAUUACAAAAAAUAUAUCAUUUUUGUCUCUUUUAUUUCGAUAUAGUAAUCAUGUGUGUGUGUAUAUAUAUAUAUAUUGGUUUAGAUUCCUAUCUAAAGAAGAGGAAUACAAAUUUUACUUCAUCAAUGUCUAAGAACUAUCUCAACCCAAUAACUUAAGCUGUUAAGUGAGGUUUCAAGAUAUGAUUUAUAUUAUUCUCUAACACACCCCUUCAAGUGAAAACUUUUUGGACUUGAAACUUGUACAGACUCAAAUUACCUUGUGCUUGAUUUUUAUCAAAUAAAUAGGGAUGGUGAGAUUCGAAAUCGUGAUCGUUUAGUCAUAAAGACUCUGAUAUCAUGUCAAAUAACCAUCUCAACCCAAUAGAAAGCUUUUAAGUGAGGUCCCAAAUAUAAUUUAUAUUUUUCUCUAACAAUCAAUAUAUAAUUUAACCUGACAUGCAUGGAAUUCUAUAUAAAAUGUAGCCUAUACCUAGAGUACAAGAAACCAUCACUAGUCAUACACACAAAGAAAGAUAUGGACUAUGAAAUUGCAGGUCUGGUUCUAGCAGUCUUGCUAUGGGUUGCAUGGGCAGUGGUGACUGAACGUCGUUACCGUCGUUCAGAAGAGCAAGGGCAGCUACCACCGGGGCCCAGACCACUGCCAGUGGUUGGCAAUAUCUUCCUGCUGGGUUGGGCACCACACGAGUCUUUUGCUAAUUUGGCUCGUGUUCAUGGUCCAAUCAUGACCAUUUGGCUCGGGUCCAUGUGUAACGUGGUCAUUUCCUCGAGCGAAGUGGCUCGUGAGAUGUUCAAGAAUCAUGAUGCGGUGUUAGCUGGGAGAAAAAUCUAUGAGGCUAUAAGAGGUGAUUUUGGAAAUGAAGGGUCUAUAAUCACAGCCCAAUAUGGACCGCAUUGGCGCAUGUUAAGGCGCUUAUGCACCACCGAAUUCUUUGUGACUAGCCGCCUUGAUGCCAUGCAGGGUGCACGAACUAGGUGCAUCGAUGGCAUGCUGCAAUACAUAGAAGAUGAUAGUGCCAAUGGCACUAGCGCUAUUGACCUUGGGAGAUACAUUUUCUUGAUGGCUUUUAAUCUUAUUGGCAACCUCAUGUUUUCUAAAGAUUUAUUGGACCCAAAAUCGGAGAAGGGAGCUAAGUUUUUUCAGCAUGCAGGUAAGGUCGUGGAGUUGGCAGGUAAGCCUAACAUGGCUGAUUGUUUUCCAAUUUUAAGAUGGCUUGAUCCACAAGGUAUAAGGAGGAAGACACAGUUCCAUGUUGCAAGAGCCUUUGAGAUUGCAGGAGGGUUCAUCAAAGAAAGAACAGAGAGUACGCAAAAGGAAAAUAGUAGAGAUGACAAGAGGAAAGAUUAUCUAGAUGUCCUUUUGGAGUUUCGUGGUGAUGGCGUGGAGGAGCCCUCUAGAUUUUCUUCAACAACGAUCAAUGCGAUUGUCUUAGUAAGUAGCAUCUCUUUUCCUAUGGUUCUCUUUUCUGUCCUAUCUUUGCAUACAUUUUUGUGUUUUUGUUCGGAGGCGGCAAAGCCUGUCUUAAUAUAAUUGUCUACCUAGUAAUUAACAUCUCGUUUGACAGCUUUGUUAAGCUCAGACCUCUGUUAGUAAAGUACUCCGCCCCGCUGAUAGGUUUACCUUCAGCUCUAGCUUGUGUUGGCUUUUUUUUUUUUAAAAAAAAUCAAUCCAGAUUGAAUUAGUUGAUUGGACAUAUUAAUCUGUUACUCGGUUAGAAUUUCAUUGAUUUUUUUCAAAAUUAUUGUUUUGAUCUUUAAAUUUUUUUUAUUAGACUUACUUAAAAAUCAAUCUCAUGAUCCGAGACUUACUCUGAAUGCAACUCCGAGUUAGGUCUAAUUAUAACUAUGACUUGGACUAUGGAAACUAUAGUUCUACAUACACGGUGGAACCAAAAAAUUUAUCAAACCCGGCCUGAAUCAGUAAUUAACCUAGAACCCAAUUGAUUUCACCUGUAGUUUAAGUUGGAUUUUAAAAUAAAAUUAACUUUGAGAUGAUACUGUUUGGCUUGAUUGACCCUACUAGUUAAUUUGAUCAAAAUUUUAUUUGAUUUUUUUAAUCUUUUCUUUAAAAUGAUAUUGUUUUGAUUGAUUUCAUUUAAUUCACCCAACUCGUGACUUAAAGUUUAAACUAGGUAUAAUAUCUUUGUUUUUAAGUAAUGUUCAAAAACAUAAAUUAAUUAUCAUAUUUAUCUCGGCCUGGGUUUUUUCCAAACCAUAGUAAAGAAAUUAUUAGGAGAUAGUAUACAAAAUUAAAUCACUAACAAUCUUAAUUAUUGUCAUGAUUUUUUCUUAUAGGAAAUGUUUACGGCAGGGACUGAUACAACAACAAGCACUUUGGAAUGGGCCAUGGCUGAACUUCUACAUAACCCUAAAGUAAUGAAAACAGUCCAAUCCGAGUUGAGAAGCACCAUUGGCCCCAACAAGAAGCUCGAAGAUAAAGACAUUGAGAAUCUCCCAUACCUAAAGGCAGUCAUCAGGGAAACACUGAGACUGCACCCUCCUCUCCCUUUUUUAGUCUCGCACAUGGCCAUGAACCCUUGCAAGAUGCUAGGCUAUUACGUCCCUAAAGAGACAACAAUUCUAGUUAAUGUGUGGGCCAUUGGAAGGGAUUCAAAGACUUGGGAUGACCCUUUGGUUUUCAAGCCAGAAAGGUUCUUGGAACCAAACAUGGUAGAUUACAAAGGUCGUCAUUUUGAGUUCAUACCAUUUGGUUCUGGCCGUAGAAUGUGCCCUGCCAUGCCGCUCGCUUCUCGUGUACUUUAUUUGGCUCUUGGGUCGCUCUUGCUUUCAUUUGAUUGGAUUUUGCCGGAUGGUCUCAAGCCAGAGGAUAUGGACAUGACUGAAAAAAUAGGGAUAACACUUAGAAAAAGUGUUCCCUUAAAGGUCAUACCGACACCUUACAAGGGGUCAUCAAAUCAUGAUGGGUUCUGAGUUGAUAUGGGAUAUUCCAAAAUUUCUACGUACUAGUAUAACAAAACGUAGUUAUAAAAAGGGUAUAACAGAUCAAUCUUGGUAUCCUAUUGAUUUGAAACUUAUUUCAAGUUAUAUUUUAUUUUGAAAUGGAUUAAAAAAGAAAAUAAUUCAACAUUGUUUUGGUAAAAAAAAAUAGACUCGCAGUUGAAUUUUAGGCCGAGCCAGACCCAGGCUCGGACUUAUAUCUAAGUUACAAAAUGUUGUAUUAGUAUUGUAUUCAAUUUAGCUGUUUGAGUCAUAUAUUUGAUUCUUAAUUUGUAUGUGUAUGUAUAUUAAUGUAUAUCUAUAUAUAAUCUAGUUGUGGAGAAUUUUUUUUAAUUAAUUAGCAUGUUUGGUGAUGCAGUUUGUCAUAACCCAAUUCUGGGUUAUUCCCCAAAAAUCAAUAUCUUUUUCAAAAUAAAAAUAAUAAAAUAAUAAUAAAGGUUGACGAUGUGGAGAAAGCAAAUCGAGGAAUCAAGCUACAAUUUUAGAGGAAAUUCAAGACUUAAUGGUACCCCAUUAUGCCCCAAAAUAGAAAGAAAAUGCAAAUUCAAUGUCAAAUCAAAUGAUUAUUGGAUGAAUAUGCUUAAAAAUUAAGUCUAAGACAUAAUUAAAUUUUUAACAGGUCAAUUUGAUUUAAUCAUGGGCCAAAUUGAAUUUUAAUUAUGUUUAAGAAUUAAUUUGGGUCCAAUUGAAGGAUUUAAUUAAGUACAAGGACUAAAUUAUACUUUAAAUGGGUCAAAUUAAUUUUAUUUGGGGCUUAAUUGGUGAAAAAUUAAGUUUGGGAGCCUAAUUUGGGCUUAAUUGAGAAGAUUGGAAUUUUAAGAGAUCAAAUUUAAUUUUUACCAAGUUAAUUGACUGAAACUAGGGGCCAAAUUGUAAGAAAAAUGAAGUUUUGGGGUCAAUUAGGGGCUAAAUUGAAGAAAUUCGCAGCCAAGGACCAAUCUACAAAGGGUGCCAAAAUUAAGGGUCUUAAUUGACAAAAACCGGGAGUGAAAUUGAAGAAAUUGAAAGUUUAAUGGUCAAUUAGGGGUUAAAUUGCAUAAAUCCGAGACCAAGGACUAAAUUGUAAAAGGCGCGUAAAUCUGGGGCUGAAGUUGAAAUUCCGUAGGGGCCUAAUUGCAUUAAAUCAAAAGUUUAUGGUCAAUUAGGGGUUCAUUUGAAAUCAAUUGAAAGCUGGAGGACUAAAUUGAAAAUCAGUUAAAAUCCCUAAUUCAAUUCAAAACGACGUCGUUUUACAUUAAAAAGAAAAAGAAGGACCAGACGACGCGUCGUCUGGUUACUGUUCAUUAUCUUUUCUGUUUUACCCGAAAGAAACAGCGCGGGAGCCUUAUUUGCAGGUGCAUUUAAUGCUUGAUUUCUCCAUCAAAUCGAACAAAACUUGCACGAAACGGAUCCCCUGCAGUUCCUCUACAACCCCAUGUGAACGUUUCAGGAUGAAAGACAGCACAUCGACAUCGGCGACGACGUGAAGAGGUCAACUCAGGGACGCUACUUUGAACCAACGGUUGGGAUCCUUCCCAGCCAAAUCUAGGGCUGAAAUUUUGCCCCGGUGUAGACGAGAUUAUCCUCUUCCACCACCUAUAAAUAGAGGCUCCGUUGAUGACCUGAGAGAGGAGAAAAUUGGGUCCAAAAAUCAGAAAAAACUAGCCUCUCUGCCCCGUUUCUGUAGUAUUUUUCUCUACCUCUCUCUCCCCGCUGUUCCAGCCACCAACCAGAGCCACCACAAGCUUCUCCACCACCAGCUCCACCACAGGAAGCCAACACAACCACCAAGUAGCCACCGCGACUCUCUCUCUCUUCUCCUUCCGGCCUUUCUCUCUCCUCUACAAACUUCUUCUUCCUGCACAGUAGCAACUCCGGAGACCAAGAUCUCCAUCAACGCCGCUACCAGCCUCUUGUCAGCCACCCAGACUAGCAGCGCCUCCCACUUGUGUCAGGUGGUGUCCCCCUACUUCUGCCCCGUUCCUGCCCACGUAUCUUCUGCAUGCAAUGGCAGAAUCAUUAACCUUGAAUAUGGGUCGGACCUUAUUUGGCCCAGCCCAAAUUUAUGGGCCGGAUUCGGCCCACCCCCAAACUUGUUGGGCUGAGAUCGGCCCACCCUUUUGUAGGUCGGGCUCGGCCCAGUUAGCUGGGCCGACCUAGCCCACAUAUUUAAUAUUAUAUAAUAUAUAUUAUAUUAUAAUAUUAUUUAAAAAAAUCCAAAAAAUUUUCAAAAAUCAUUUUAAAAAAUUUUGCGAUUUUGUCAAAUAUUUUUCUAUCCAUUUUGCAUAAUAUCGGGUUGUAUAUUUACACUGUAGUGCGCCGCCGCCUCUUCUUUACUUCCCUAAAACAGAUAGAGCAAGACGCAGAGACAGAGAAGACAAAGAAAGGUAACCGAGAGAGAAGGCAAGAAAGAGAUGGAGAUAGGAAAAGACAUUAUGGUAAGAAAUAUAUUUUUAGUAUUUGUGAUAAUUUUUCAGUAUUAAGUUUGAGUUUUAUUUACUAAUAUGUGUGGAUUUGUUUUUAUAAAGCUUUGUUAAAGGAUGUUAAGAUUUGGGUGAAUAUAUAUGCAUUGAUUUUGAUUUAUAGUUCUUGAGAAAUUAACUAGGACUCGUUAUUCAGUAGAAUUGAUUGCUUAAAGAUGAACUUGAGAAUUGAAAAUUUGUGAACCAUUGAUGAUCUUAAGUUCAAAGGAUAUAUAUAAAUUGAAGAAACUCAAAUCCUGGUUAUGGCCACCGAGUUUAGAGGCUGUGAAUCAGAGAUGACGAUCAAAUUAUAUUAUGGUAUGACGAUCAAAUUAUAUUAUGGUCUCCAGUGUUUAAAAAUGUUACUAUCCACUUCAAAUAGAGUUUGAGUCAUGUGAUGCACAAAUUAUAUUAGUACACUUUCAAAUACGCUCUCUAGAAUACUAAUAAAACACGUGACUAAUAUAUUUUAAAUUAAAAAACACAUUUAAAAAAUACUUUACAAUACAUUAUCAAACGCACAAGUCUAGCUCUCGAAAAGAUAUUUAAAUUACUAAUUAAGUUGUCAUUUUAAUUUACGGGUUAAUUAUUUAUAUUUGAAAACUCAACUCCAAUAAAGUUUUGGAUUGUAAAUUUUUUAAUCAACCUGUAGUGUUAAGUCAAGUUUAACAACCAUGUUAUUAACAUAUCAAUGGUUUCAACUUAGCCGACAUGUCAUUUAAAGAUUCAAGAUUGAGUACUUGCGAGGCUAUAUAUAGGCUAUUAACUAAUGUUUCUUGAAUCAAGGUUUCUGUGAAUAAAUGUUCUAGUUUCCCACCAGGUGGAAGUGGUUGCAAUUCCAUGUUCUUGAUUUGUUCCUAUUUCAAAAUCAUUAAACAUAAUAAUAAUAAAAAAUAUACAACCAAUAGUUUUUUUUUUCUCUUUUUUUACUCCCUGGAUCUGUUGUCAAGGUACAGGGGCUUCUUUGAAGUGGAAUAACCCGACCACAAAAAUGCAGUGAUACAAAAUGCAUAUGCUCUACCCAGGAUAGAAAAUGCCUAAGUAUUAAAAUUCAAGUUUUAUAAUUACAUUAAUAUUUGGGAGUGCACUUCUGCUUUUAAAUAUAUUUCACUUGAAAAGAUAUAAAAUUGAUGUUUUUUAUAAUGUUUUAUUUAUAAUUGUAAUGUACCGAUAUCAAACCUCAAAAAAUAUAUAAAAAAAAAUUAUAAAAAACAUCACGCAUUGCAUUACAAAACACACACUAAUAUCAGCUGAUAUUCUAAAAUUUGAGAUAAUCCUGUAUUUUUGGUGAAUCUAAGAGUUUCAAAAAUGAUUGAUCAUAAUUUAUAAUUUAUGGGUGAUUUUUUUAUUAUUUAUUUUUUUUAUUCUAUUUAAAAAAUAAUACCUAUAAUUAUUAUCUCGUAAAACUUUCAAGAAAAAAGAAAAAAAGUAAGACAAAAUCUGUGAUGGUACCCACAUGAAAUAGCAUUUACUCCGAUAAUCCAAAGCCCUUAAAAAUCAAGAGCCCACGAUCAACUUGAAUGGGUACACUUAUCACGCUUAGACGACCCCGAUUCUUCUUUAGUUUUAAAAUAAUCUUUUCAAUUCAGUUGCUGUAUCUUGCAUUUUUAUAAGCAAGCCCUACUUCUCAUCAAGACCCGGUUCCGGAUUUUGAUCGGGUUAUCAGGUCGUCCGGCUCAAAUUUUUUUUUUUAAAAUCAAAACGACGUCGUUUUAAUAAAAAAAAAAGUCAACGGGUUGCAACCUGAUUUUUGACCGGGUCUUGCCGGGUCAACCGGGUUUUUUCUUCUCUUUUUUUUUCUUCAACCCAGCUCGGUUCUAGCCCCGGGUCGACCCACCACACCGGGUCAGGUUUUAAAACUAUGCUGCUUCUUGAAUUUUUAAAAAUGUUGUUAUGCAAAUUAAAUAUGAUUUUAGAAUUGAUUUUUUACUUCAAAUCAUAAUUUUUUUUCAUAAGCAAUGAACUGCAUUACAACGUAGAAAUAAUUAAAUUUAUCUUGAAUCAAGAGAAAUUGUGCAUAACCAGGAUAUCUUAUAGAAAUAAUUUCAUGUACAUGCUAUAAAUCUUACUUCAGAUCACAUUUUAUCAUUCAUAUUGAUGUUUAUAAAUUAGAAAUCAAAUUAAUACACUUCUUUAUAGUUAUAGAAUUCUUAAGAACUCUUGCGUUCACCUAACUUGCGAAAUAAUGACUAGCAAUAAGAUCAAACUUAACUUUGCACCCAUUCCCAAAAGACGUUUCUUUGACCUAAUUUAUUACAUGGCUAAGAUAUAUCAAGCAUUCCAAUAUUUACUCGCAUAAAUAAUAUCAAAUCUCAAAUAUAUCAUGAUCUACACUAUUAUUUUGUCUUUUUUUUAUGUUAAUUAUUGAGAAAAAUUAUGUUCUUAAACUUUAUAAAGUUUAUGGAUCUAUUCACAGGUUUGACUGGUUGACCUGAUUUGCAAGUUUGAGAAGUUUAACUUUUUUUUUUCAUCCUUAGAUAUUGGAUUAAUUGAACAUUAAGUUUUAUAAUUGGUCUUGUUUCAUCUUUUAAUUGAGGUUAUCACGGUAUUAAAAAAAACAUCUCGGUACUAGGUUGAUAUUUGAUUUCACAAUUGUUUGUUUUUGUUAUUAUAUAGUUAAAUAAAAAAAUAGUUUUGAAAAAAACAAAUUAUAAUCCUAGUGGAGCCCAUAACUCGGUUUACAGGUUUGACAUGCUAACCCGGGUUAUCUGAUUCACAGGUUUAACGAGUUUGCCCAACAAUAGAAUAUGUUUUUUUGGUCUUUUAAUUAUUUUUUUCUUUUCGAUUUAUCCUUCAAUAUUGUGUUGAUUGAGAAAUAGACUGCAUGAAUGAUUUUUGUUUGCUUUCUAUAGGGAUAAUUGUCUCAAAUAAGUGUUUAUUUUUAGGUUAACGUUCAAUUUUGUGAGUAUCUAUUUUUAUCAUAUAAUUAAAUAAAAAUAGUUUAUAAAAAAAGUUAUUAAACCCAAUAGAAUUUACGACUAGGGUCGCGGGGAGACCGAGGUAGAUUUAAUUUGUCAUUGUCUCAAUAUUUUUUAAAAAAAAUUGUCAUCUUGAAGUUUUUUUAAAAGCUAAAUAAUGUUUUCACUGAUUAUCGAUGUUGCAUUUGGACUCAUGAAAUUGAUUGAUUUAAGUCAAGUUAGCUCCCACGCGGUUUAAUUAGAAACUCGAGUUAGGUAAAGAGUCAAGUUAAAAGAUUUCAAAAUUAAUCUACUUGGUUAUGUUUAAUAAUAUUAUAAAAAAAUCUUCAUACUCUUAAUAUUUUUUAUAUUUUAAAAAAAUUAAUCCGACCCAUGGUGAGCCCGAACCAAUAAACUAGUGUAAACUGAAAGGAAGAAAAGAAAAUCACAUGAAUCAUGCAUAUAAUAUUUAAGAACAAUCACAUUAUUCUUGCUGAAUUAGUCACAAAUUUUGUAACAAUUACGUACACAUCAAAUAUAAUUGCACUUGAUCACUUCAAGCCAUACAUUUGAGUAUAUCUAGAGUCAUGCUGAUAAUGUUUAUUGCCCAAAUUUAAGUUCAUUGGGGAUAUCGAUCACAAUUAAGUAGCCUUUCGUUGAAACUUCGAAUAUACUACGUACCUAACAUAAAUCUGCCCAACUCCCUGCUAAUCAUGAACCAAUUAUCAGUAAUUAAAUCCAUCUAGGCCUAGAACUUUAAAAACCAUUUGAUCAAUCAUCAAAGAAUAUAUAAACGAUUGUAGUCAUGUCAAAAGGGAUUCUUCCUCGAAUAAGCACAAUUUUAUAUAGUUAAUUAUAAAUGAGAUUAUUGCUUACAGCAAGAUUGCAUUAUCUAUGUAUAUUAAUUUAAUUAAAGAAAAGAUCAUGUCCCCAUAAAAAAAAAAUUAAAAAUCAGGUUAUAAAGACAAAAAAAUUAAAAAUAAAAUUAGUUUCAUGAACUCGAGUACAAGUAGGCAAUGCAUAUACAUGCAAGGCACGCAUCAACAACUUUUUUGUUUUUUUUUUAUUUGUAAAAAAUUGAAAAAUACUCUUAGAGCUAAACAAUAAUAAUAUACAAACUACGAUGAAAUUACAACCAAGUCCCUGGAGUCAUGGUUAAAAAAUUUAAAUGAUAAGGAUAAUGAAGUAAUUUUAUUGUUCUUUUAAAUAUGAAAAAUAAAAAAAUGCUAUUAUGUUGAGGACAUUAAAUUAUUUUAUUUAAGAGCUACAUUAGUAAUUUUAUUAUGUAUUAAAAAACAUAACCCCUCACAAUCCUCAAAAGAUAUUUAUAUCACGUAAAAAAACUAACAUGCCCCAAAGCCAAGUUAAAAGAUUAAAUGACCAAAGAAAAAUAAAGUAAUUAUAGUAAAUUAUGUAUCGGAACACAAUAAUACAUGCAAUAAUACAUCAUUUGUCUUGGUCAAGUUCUACUUGAGGAUUUGGUCAAGUUUUUUUUAAUCUUAUUCUUCCAUUCUGCUUAUUCCAUUUCCACUAGAGGGCUUGUCUUAAUAAAGAACUCUCUUCCUUAACUAUACGUGGUACUAUUUCAAUGAAAUCUCUUGUCAGUUACAAGGGGGGAAAUAAAAAAGAGUCAUCAUGCAAAUGAAUACCCUAUUGGGAUUAAUUUUUAUUUUAUUUUAUAAUCAUCGUUUGAUUUAUUGAAAAGUAGUUAUUAGCCAUUUAAUUAAUGACUAAACAACAGAAAAUAAGAGUUAAUACGGAAGGAACAAUAUAAAGAAAAACGAAAUACAAAAAUCUCUAUUAAUUUCCUUAAUUACCUAAAUUAAUUCUGGGAUUUAAUUAGACAAAGGAAUCAAUUUAGCUCCCUACAAGUUAUGCAUUAAACAGUAAUUGAUGUAUUUAGAAUCAAAUUAGAGGGGACUAAGUUAACCAAUUCACGUGACAUAUAAGAUAAUGUUGAUGGAUUUGGGACCGCAUGCAUCACCAUGAUCUAUAAUUGCUAUUAUAUACAUAGAAUAUCACAGUAAAUAGAAAAGAAACAAUCAGACAAUACAAUAAUUUUAUAUAGUACGAAUGUGCCUGUAUCCACAAGCAAAGAGAGAUUUCAUAUUAUAAUUCAAAAUAUAUUUAGGCCAAUCCGAUCCUCAGAGCACACUAUGAAUUUCUCAUGCUUGCUAUCUUUUUCGCACACAAGAAUGUGCAUGAUUAUACUUAGAAAAACCUAGGCCUAAAUUACUUUUGUCAUCCUUUAAGAACAUAUUUACAUGUACCUUUUUAAUUAGUCCUAUUUUGAUUUGGAUGUAUUGCAAGGCACGCAAUAUAAUAAGAAAUAUUAUUGCUUUUUCAUCCAAAAAAUUUAAAUUUUUAAAUUAAAACAUCCAUAUGACAUAAUAUUAUAAUUUUAAUAUUAAUUAAAUACUCACGAGUUUUUAUCACUCUAAUUUUUGUUAUACUUAAAAUCAAAUCAACAUAGCUAAUAAUAAAUUUAUACAAGUUUUAAAUUAAAAGAAUUCACAUAAAAAAUUGCAUUAAAAAAUAAUAGAAAAUCAUCAUCAAAUCAAGCUCUUAACUUCACUUGAGAGAUUGUAUUUACGCAUUACUAGUCGCUUUCUUGAGUGUUAAUUGGAGGCUCCUUCUUUUUGCAGCCUCUAGUCUCAUGUAGUCUCUCCUUCUCUUCCUAAUUGUACGUGGUCAUGGCGUUUCAAUGAAAUUAAUCUCUUGUCAGUUAAAGUGUGGGAAAAAUGAAAAAGAGACGAAGCUUGUCGUUUCCAACUUGAAAAUGCAAAGAAUACCUCUAAAUUUUGGAAUUUAGUCAAAGGAAUCAAAUUAGCGCCCUGCAAAUUAUGCGUUGAGCAUUUAUGGGCUGGAUUCAACUCAACCUAUAAAACAAAUCAAACUAAAUUGAUGCAUUUGGAUUUCAUAAAAAAAGAUGAUGCAUUUGGAAUCAAAUUAGUAGUGGGGACUAAGUCAAUCAAUUCAUGCAACAUAAGUUAAUAAAUUCACCUAACAUUUAGAAGAUAUGUUGAUAGAUUUGGGACCGCAGGAUGGGCCGGUAGGGGACCAAGCCGACGGAUCUGAAUUAUUGUACACCAAAGCUGAUGCGCGCAGUAAGACUUUGGAAGAUUUCACUAUCAAUCAAAACCAGAUUCACCAUGCGUCUAAUCUGUAAUUGUUAAGUAUCGAAGAGAACAUUUUUAUUAUAUAUAGUCGAAACUAAUACAAGUUUUGAAUAAUUCUGAUCAAACCCAAUCCUGCAAUUAUUACAUGCAAUUAUUCAAUAAUAUAUAUGGUUUAGAUUCCUAUCAAAAGAAGACGAAUAAAAAUUUUACAUGAUCAAUAUACACUAUUUAACCUGACAUGCAUGAAAUUCUAUAUAAAAUGGAGCCUACCUAGGGUACAAGCGAAACCAGCACUAGUUAUACACACAAAGAAAGAUAUGGACUAUGAAAUUGCAGGUCUGGUUCUAGCAGUCUUGCUAUGGGUUGCAUGGGCAGUGGUGACUGAACGUCGUUACCGUCGUUCAGAGGAGCAAGGGCAGCUACCACCAGGGCCUAGACCACUGCCAGUGGUUGGCAACAUCUUCCAGUUGGGUUGGGCACCACACGAGUCAUUUACUAAUUUGGCUCGUGUUCAUGGUCCAAUCAUGACCAUUUGGCUCGGGUCCAUGUGUAACGUGGUCAUUUCCUCGAGCGAAGUGGCUCGUGAGAUGUUCAAGAAUCAUGAUGCGGUGUUAGCUGGGAGAAAAAUCUACGAGGCUAUGAAAGGUGAUUUUGGCAAUGAAGGGUCUAUAAUCACAGCCCAAUAUGGACCGCAUUGGCGCAUGUUAAGGCGCUUAUGCACCACCGAAUUCUUUGUGAGUAGCCGCCUUGAUGCCAUGCAGGGUGCACGAACUAGGUGCAUCGAUGGCAUGCUGCAAUACAUAGAAGAUGGUAGUGCCAAUGGCACUCGCGCUAUUGACCUAGGGAGAUACAUUUUCUUGAUGGCUUUUAAUCUUAUUGGCAACCUCAUGUUUUCUAAAGAUUUAUUGGACCCAAAAUCGGAGAAGGGAGCUAAGUUUUUUCAGCAUGCAGGUAAGGUCACGGAGUUGGCAGGUAAGCCUAACAUGGCUGAUUUUUUGCCAAUUUUAAGAUGGCUUGAUCCACAAGGUAUAAGGAGGAAGACACAGUUCCAUGUUGCAAGAGCCUUUGAGAUUGCAGGAGGGUUCAUCAAAGAAAGAACAGAGAGUGUGCAAAAGGAAAAUAGUAGAGAUGACAAGAGGAAAGAUUACCUAGAUGUCAUUUUGGAGUUUCGCGGCGAUGGCGUGGAGGAGCCCUCUAGAUUUUCUUCAACAACGAUCAAUGUGAUUGUCUUUGUAAGUAGCAUCUCUUUUCCUUUGGUUCUUCUGAUCUCUUCUGUCCUAUCUCUUACACAUUCCACUAAGUAGACAAGUAUAAGAAUUAUAAUACAAAUAUACAAAAUUAAUAGACCUCAGCCACCAGCAAAAUCUUUGCAUACAAUUUUGUGUUUUUGUUCGGAGGCGGCAAAGCCUGUGUUAAUAUAUAUAAUUGUCUUCCUAGUAAGUAACAUCUCGUUUGCCAGCUUUGUUAUGCUCAGACCUCUGUUAGUAAACUCCGCCCCGCUGAUAGGUUUACCUUCAGCUCUAGCUUGAGCUGUUGGCUUUUUUUUUUUAAUUUUUAAAAUCAAUCCAGAUUGAAUUAGUUGAUUGGACAUAUUAAUCUGUUACUCGGUUAGAAUUUCAUUGAUUUUUUUUCAAGAUUAUUGUUUUGAUCUUUAAAAAGAAUUUUAUUAGAUUUACUUAAAAUCAAUCUCAUGAUCCGAGACUUACUCUGAAUGCAACUCCAAGUUAGGUCUAAUUAUAACUAUGACUUGGACUAUGGAAACUAUAGCUCUACAUAAAAUUGGAUUGGAGGAGGCAGAUAAGAAACUAAGUGAUUAUUGAGAGUGCAAACCACGUAAAAUUAAAGAGUAUAAUUAAAGAUUUUCAAAAUUUAAUGUAGUUCUGCCUGUCUGAAUACAUAUCAACUCGUUCAACUUUUGAUCAUGGUCGUGAAUAUAUUUAUGUUAGCAACAACCGGUGUGAUCAUUCUUAAUUAUUAUAUUUCAUUUAAAAAAUAUAUUUUUUAUUGUUUGGUUAUGUUGAAAAAAAUAAUUGAAUUUUUUUAGUGCUUGCGUGUUUGGUAUGCAUGGAAAAUAUGUAUUAAAAAGAAAACAUGAAUUAAUUAAUAAUAGAGAUCAUAAUUUAAUAUUGAAGCUAAUCUCGUAAAAUGUUUUUUAUCUAUUAUAAACCGUGAGUUGUUAAUUUUCUAUUAUUUUAAGCUUAUCUUUUCUUUAAUUAUAAAGUAUUUUACAUUAAUAAUUUAUUUUAAAAGAAAUCAAACAUAAAAAAUGAAAAGAAAUAUUUUACAGAAACAUAAUUACUUAAGAAAAAUAAUAAUAUAAGAUGAUGUUGAUUGGAUUCACUCAACAAUUGAAAGUGCUUUUAAACAUAUUUAUCGAACCCGACAUUAAUUAGUGGGUCAACUUAGAAUUCAAUUAGCUUGGCUUGUAGUUUAAGCUGCAUUUUAAAAAAGGAUUAACUUUGAGCUGAUCCUAUUUGACUUGGUUGAUCCUACUAAUUAAUUUGGUCAUAAUUUAAUUUGAUUUUUAAAUUUUUUUUUUUAAAAUGAUAUUGUUUUGAUUGAUUCUAUUUAAUUCAUCUAACCCGUGACUCGGAGUUUAAACCAUGUAUAAUAUCUUUGCUUUUAACUAAUGUUCAAAAACAAAAAUUAAUUAUAAUAUUUAUCUUGGGGCUUAGUUUUUUUUUCCAAACCAUAGUAAAGAAAUUAAUAGGAGAUAUUACACAAAAUUAAUCAUCAACAAACUUAAUUAUUGUUAUGAUUUUGUCUUAUAGGAAAUGUUUACGGCAGGGACUGAUACAACAACAAGCACUUUGGAAUGGGCCAUGGCUGAACUUUUACAUAACCCUAAAGUACUGAAGACAGUCCAAUCUGAGUUGAGAAGCACUAUUGGCCCCAACAAGAAGCUCGAAGAUAAAGACGUUGAGAAUCUCCCAUACCUAAAGGCAGUCAUUAGGGAAACACUGAGACUUCACCCUCCUCUACCAUUUUUAGUCCCGCACAUGGCCAUGAACCCUUGCAAGAUGCUAGGCUAUUACGUCCCUAAAGAGACAACAAUUCUAGUUAAUGUGUGGGCCAUUGGAAGGGAUUCAAAGACUUGGGAUGACCCUUUGGUUUUCAAGCCAGAAAGGUUCUUGGAAGCAAACAUGGUGGAUUACAAAGGUCGUCAUUUUGAGUUCAUACCAUUUGGUUCUGGGCGUAGAAUGUGCCCUGCCAUGCCUCUUGCCUCUCGUGUACUUCCUUUGGCUCUUGGAUCACUCUUGCUUUCAUUUGAUUGGAUUUUGCCAGAUGGCCUCAAGCCAGAGAAUAUGGACAUGACUGAAAAAAUAGGGAUAACACUUAGAAAAAGUGUUCCCUUAAAGGUCAUACCGACACCUUACAAGGGGUCAUCAAAUCAUGAUGGGUUCUGAGUGGACAAGGGAUAUUCUAAAAUUUCUACUAGUAUAACAAAAUGUAAUUAUAAAAUGGGUACAACAAAUCAAUCUUAGUAUCCCGUUGAUUUGAAACUUAAUCCAUGUUAUAUUUCAUUUUGAAUUAAAUUUUUUUACCAAAACCAUAUCAUUUUAUUAAAAAAUAAAAUAAAACAUGUUUUGGUAAAAAAAGAAGAAGAAGAUAGACUCGCAACCUAAAUUUUAGGCCGAGGCAGACCUAGGUUGGUCUUAUAUCUAAGUUACAAAAUGAUAUAUUAGAAUUGUAUUCAAUUUAGCUAUUUGAGUCAUAUAUUUGAUUCUUAAUUUGUAUGUGCAUGUAUAUUAAUGUCUAUCUAUAUAUAAUCUAGUUAUGGAGAAUUUUUUUUAAUUAAUUUGUAAUGCGGUUUAAUCUAUUUUUCAAACUAAUUUUCAUUUAAAAAAUAUUAAAUUAAUGUUUUUAGGUGUUUUUAAUGCUUCGUCUCUCCAUCAUAUUUGACAAAACAUAUACAAAAAUGAUGAUCUGACCUUCGACCAUACCCCGAUAUGGUUUUUUCAGGUUGAUUGACAUCAUAACAGCUGCGGCACCACCUCAAAGUGGCCAACCCGACCAGCCUUUUAGCAGUUAUAUUGACUGUUCAUGAUGACCACUUUGAGUCAACGGUUGAGAUCCUUCCGGGUUGAAUCAAGGGCUAAGAUUUGGCACCAGUAAAGAUAAAAUUCCACUCUUCCACCCCCUAUAAAUAGGAGAGGAUUCCAUGCAAUGAGAUCAAGAAAUCUAAGGCCAAAGUUGGAAAAAUAAUCAGUUUUUUUUUUCAAUUUUUUUCUUUGUGAGCCUCUUCCACCUCUUUCUCCAUUGCUUUUUCAGCCACUACUACUUCAGUACCACCGUGACCAAAACCAAAGGUUACCCCGCUUUUUAUACCACGUAACCUUCUGCUCUUCUCCUCCCUCCCUUCUUGUUCUUCUUUUACAUGCAAAUGUGCAGAACAGAACGUGAAUUAUAAUUCACGUUUUGCCAUUUGUAAGCACAACUUAGUCACUGGGCUGAGCCAGUGACUAAGCUGUGUUGGGCUGGACCCAUUCCGGCCCAGCUCAGAUGGUUGGGAUGGGUCCAGCUAUCGUAAUCCAAUUUUAAGUUUCUAAAAAAAGUGAUGAUAAAAAUAUAAUUCGGAUUAAUCAGUCAUGCACAAUUAUUCAGAACGACAGGUGGAUGGACAAGCUAGGGUCUUGUUGAAGAAACUUUGGAAAAUGAUUUGAGAAUGUGAUCAAAACAACACAAAUUGAAGGUUUGAGGACUAACAAGGAUAAAAUUAUAAAAUUUAAAAGUCAAUUUGGCUGAAACUGGAAGAAUUGACAAGUCUAGGGAUUUAAUUGAACUCUGAAUUAGUUUAGUUAAUUGAAGAAAUAUCAAAAUUCAAGAGCAAUUUAUGUCAAAAUUGCAAGAAAUAAAAUUUCAGGGAUCAAAAUGAAUAGGCUCUAAUACUAUAAGGCGGUUAAUUGACUUUAUCAGGGGUAAUUUUGAAAAAAUUAAAAGUUUGAAAAGUCAAUUAAGGAUUGAAUUGAAGAAAUCUGAAACCCAUGACUAUUUUGAAAAUAACGCAGAAAUCCAAGGGUGCAAUUGCAUAGAUCAAGGGGCGAAAUUAAAAAAAAUGAAUUUUAAAAGACAAGGGCUUGAAUGUAAGACUUCAAAACUUCAGGGGGCAAAUUGAAGAAUGACCCUUUUCGGCCUAAAACAGCGUCGUUUCAAAAACUGUUCAUUCUCUUCUUCCUCUCGAGCAGGGGAAAUCGUUAGAAGAAGCCAUCCAAAUGGCCCCUGUUAGACCCAAUCGUCCCACCAAAUCCAAGCCAAAUCUUAGACCCGAUUGUCUACCACAGAUCUCAUAAGUUAGUUCAGUGUUUCUCGCCCUCACAACUCUCCUCUGACGCGAAGAUCACUCAGGUCCAACAGUCCAACAAUGGCAGGACUGUUGGUGUUUUCAUUCCACCAAACAACGAGCGAACCUAAAGCAGUAGUUAUCCACCACUCAUUUAAUAUGCAGGCAGGGCCAUAUGAUUCGAUGAAAGAUAUUUCUUUGAAAAUUUUGCAAAGCAGCGUGUCAACAGUUCCCAUUAUUCAUUCUGCUUCUCAGGAUGGCUCAUUUCCGCAGCUACUAUAUCUUGCUUCCCUGUCUGGAAUACUAAAAUGUAAACCUUCUUGGUUUGAUGCUUGAGGAUGUAUAACUUGUUGCUAACACAUGGACUAAUUGUCAGGUAUAAGCAGGUAUUUCAGACAUUCUGCUGGCUCCUUCCCCAUUCUUCAACAGCCAAUUUGUUCAAUUCCUUAGGGUACAUGGGUUCCAAGACUUGGGGAACCAAACAGACGGCCAUUUGCAAUGUUGAGACCGAAUGCUUCUCUCGGUGCUGCUCUGUCUUUGUUGGCUCAAGGUAAUUCACUCGUCAAAAGAUUACCACAAGCUACAACUUUCCUCUUCUAUCUGUUUCUGAGUGUGCAUAUUGCUGAUUGAUCUUCUUUAACCUCUCCUAACCUUGUGCUAUAAUACCUUCCUGAUACAGCCAAUGUCAGUUCAAUAGCAUUUGUAAACGAUAAGGAUUCACUGCUGGAUGUUUCCUCGACAGUGAUAUCACUGCUUUGGCAAAAGAUAAAGCCUAUGCACAAAUUCAUCUUGAUGAAAUAAGUAUUCAUCAGGUAAUUAGUUUUGAUUACUUUGAGCUCUACUUACAUGCAGUUGUAUGCACAUUCUUGCAAUGGUCUGAACCAAUCCGCAGCUCUGUACAUGAAUCUCCAUUUGUGAAACAAUAAAUACCUUCAACAAAAUCAGGAGAAGAUAAAUGACUGGAAGUGAUUAAGUAAACUGCAUUUUUGAAUAAAACAUGCAUGGCAUGAACUACUGUAUUGAUCUGCUCUUUCAUACCCUUUUAGGCUCUGCAAUUGGGUCAGAAUGCAAAUUCUUCAAAUGCAUUCUACAAUGGACAGAGAUGUCAGAUGUGUUUGCGGACUGAUUCUCUACACAAAGUGAUGGAGCGUUUGGCAAAUCCCGGUACUCUUACAGCAAUAUGAUUU
rnacentral:lncRNA from 1 species